ACAGAGAUUAAAAAUAAAAAUUAUAACAACUUUAAUGACGUUGAACAUGUCAAUUCAUUUACCGAAUACAUUAUGUUUUUAAUAAUUGAUUUUGAAAUUCUAAACGUUGCAUCCGUAUUAAUAAAGAAAUAUCUAAAAAGUAUGAGAAACCGAUACGAGUAAUCCUAUAAGCUAAACUGGAAAGAACCUUGAAAAAGGGCAGGCAUCUCCAUAUGAACAGAGUUAGCCAUACCGAUUAGAUAACCUAGACAUACAAAAACAAAGAGAAUCAACAGUGACUAUCACUCCUAGCUCCUCAAUUUUCAUUCUCUUUCUUUCUAACCUUUCAAAAAUUCUGUGAUGAGCAACAUCAUGGCUUCUCACCAUCUCCUUCCUUGCCUGACCCUCCUAAACUUGGCUGCUCUACUUUCUAUAGCUUUUGCCUCCAAGGUCUCCUUGAAAUCAUCUGUCAUGUACCCUUUUACGUGCUCCAAGAGCAUCAAGACAUGUAAUGCCUCGUUAUACCACAUCAAUUAUGGCCUUGACAAAGUACAAAUCUCCACCUUUUACAAUAUAAACUCAUCCCAGCUCAACCCCAUUUCCCAUGGAAACAAACAAGAUUACCUUCUCUCAUCAGUGCCUUGUUCCUGAAAAGAUGUUGAUGGCUCUGAUGCAUACUUCUACCACACAUCCUAUAUAUAUAGUUCAACAGAAUGAUACGUUUAUAAAUGUUUCAACUCAGAUAUACAGUGGACAAGCUACGGAGGACAAAAGUCAUUUAUUGUAGGAAACAAAGUGCUCAUGCAUCUGUUAUGAGGGUGUGUAGAAAGUGACACUCAAAUCAUAGUAACAUAUACAGUUCAGCAAAACGAUACUUUAUCAGAUAUUGCCAUUCAGCUAUCUGCUAAUGUAAGUGAUAUAGUAAGGAUCAACAGAAAUUUGAUUCAAAACCCAAAAAUCAUAGAUGUUGGGUGGGUGUUCCAAGGGCAAAAAAGAUGUGACUAAGAUUUUGGUUCAAUCAAGACCUUAUAUCCUAAUUUAUGUAUUUGAAACGUUUGCUUCAUAAUUAUCAAGCUACAACCAAGAAAUGAUACCGUUAAGGUAUUAUGUGUGAGCAAUUUUUUGGGCCUCCAUAUGAAUUACUUCUAAUAUUUGAGCUGUGUACCAUGUUACUUUCAACCGUACAGAACUAUUUAUUUAUUUAUUUGUCUUAAUUACCUUAAAUUGCCAUCUUUAUCUUAAACAUUUUCUUUAAACAUCAUGAGACCUUCAUUUUUAUCAUUCAUGAAAAUCUGUUUCAGCUUCUUGUCUAUCUCCCUUUCCAAUCAUGUGAAACUUACAGGAAGCUUAGCUUUACAUAAACUAAUGCUUUGGGCAAGAGAACUCAAAUGAAACUUAGAAGUGGUAAAAUGAUGUAUCCAAAAUUCCUGUACGCAUGGCAUCUGACAUUACAAAUUUAACACAGCUUCUACGCGUUAACAACCCACUAACAGAAAGAAUUAAUCAUUCAAAAUCGAAAAUCUGGUCAAUUAUUAAAAUCUCUGAGAUUUUAGUUACAUGGAUAAAAGUAAAACUCAAAGGAUAUUUUGUGUAAUUUUCCCAAGAAAAAUUCUAGCAGUCUUAGUUCCAAAGGCAGCAGAUAUCAAACGCUUAAAACAUUCGGUUGGGGUACUACUUAUCUGAUCACCAUAAGUUGUACAAAUGGACAGAUCAACUUAACCUGAGAUCUAACCUCUUUCACUGAUCCUGGUUAAGACAUUGACAAUAAAUAGAAAUUGUCAAAUCAGCCCAUCCAGUGUUGUCUGAACGUCUUGGGCAUUGCAGCUAGAACUUUCAAUCAUUCUCAGACUCUUCAAACAAGCUUAUGCCUACACGUCAUAUAAAGCAUUGAACAUUACUUUUUACUGCUUUAUAUUGUUGUCAAAAAGCAAGCAAAAUACAAAUUUAGGUUUUGGAUUCAAGGAUAUCAUUCCAUGACUUAUCAUCCUCUAGUAUCCAUAACACUAUAUGUAUGAUAUUUAACUAGGUUCCCUUGAUGUGGGGAGGCUUCCCAUAUGUAUUCAUGCUCAAGCAUCUUAAGCUUUUCAAAUUGAAUGUAAAACAACGUAAAAUAUAAAACCCCAAAUAGCACCUUGAAUGAAAUUAAGGUUAGAUACUUCACACCGUGUAUUCAAGCAGAACCCCUUCUCAAGCGAUCAAGGAUCUGCAGUCAUUAACAAAUAGCAACUAUUAUCACUUUGCUAAUAGAAAACAGUCAAAUCAGAUAUAUUCACAACGCACUAGUCAAUAUGUGCACGCAUAGAUACAUAUUUGUGCAAGUUUUCUUGUGAUUAGCAAGAAGGGGCAUUUAGAAAGUGAUAUCAGCUAUUUAUUAAUUGAAGAUAGGCAACAACUACAAUAAUAUGGAUCCUUAGAAGUGAAUCUCCUAAUAUAUCAUCAAGAAAGUGAUAAAAACUUAUAGUCCUACGGACUAUAUGUUGUUCCACACAUUGAUUAGUGUCCUCAAAAAAUUGGAAAAGAAACGAUCUUUCAUGCUAUCACGUAAAAAAGAAGUACAAUGAGGUAGUCAAAAGAAGUUCAUCAACAUACCAUGACAGGAUACUGUAUAACCCAUCCAAAAACUGGAAUCUGACAGAGGAAGACCCUGACAGAAGGCCAAAAGCCACUAAAAGAAGAACAAAAUGCAACAACAGUUAGAAGCAGCAUAAGCAAAUUAUCCUAUUUAAGCUCAUGAUGAGAUGAGAAACUAACCCAAAAAGAACAAUGCAACCAUAUAUCUCCAAGAUUAUACCAACUAUCGGCCAACGAACAAAUAAGAAAAAGAGACCCAGAAGAAAAGAAGCAGAACCCUGCAUAAGAAAGGAGAAGAUUAAAAAAGGAGAGAGAGAGAUGAAAUUACAUAAAUCUACAUCCAAUACGAUACAUUUCAAUUCUUCAAUAUAUAUAAAACAUUUGAGAACAAAGUAGUUCUUGUAAGAACAAGUUAGUGUUAUAUCCUAUGUUAAAUAUGGUUAGACUUUUUAAUGGCCUUAAAUUCAGGUAGCAUUACCAUCUCUUAACAUUUGGUUUUAGGUUCUAUGCUUAACAUGACUUAAAAGCUCAAGUUUCAAUUGCCUGGUUUCAUAGUUCAGAUGAUAACCCUGUUCUUCUUGAUUGUUCUAAUAAGCCCACAUGUGAGAUUGUGUUAUGUAGUGCUCUCACAUCAGUUGCAUUUAGGAGUCUAUAAUGGCCUUUCAUUCAGGUGUACCUCCAAACCUAUAUCUAAUGAUAGGAGCUCUAUUUUCAUUUUGUUUGAGAUUUGUUGUCACUUCAUCUCCAAGUUGACAGUGUUUACCUAUUGUCAAAUGUCAAUAUUUGCUAUCUAUGCAUAGUUCAUAGAUAGUUCUAUUCAUCUCAUUAUUUUAUUCCUUACACAUAAAUAGAAGUUUCAAGAGGGGUUAUAUCCCACAAUGCAAGUUUCAAGUUUCUAAAGUUCUUAUAUUUGGUUGGCCCCUCCAACCCAUAACUAAUUGCUUUUAGGUUUCAACCCCCACUACGUGGUUGGAAGAAGGGAAAAGAAAAAAAAAUGAGUAAGUAUGAGAAAAAGUAGGAAUUAGUUGUUUUUAAGUGCCCAGUAAACCCCCCCCCCCCCCCCCCCCAAAAAAAAAAAAAAGAAGAAAAUUUAAAAGAUAAAAUAAAUUGAAAUGGAGGAGUGGGACACAAAUUUUUUUUAAGAAAGAAAAAUGACUAAUAUAAUCAUAUAUUUAUUUAUUUAUUAUUAUUUUAUUUGGAUUUUAUGUAGUCUUCCAACUAAACUAACAUCUCUCAACUUGUGACACUAACUCAAUCAAUGGCUUCAUAAAUUAGUAUAGAUGCUUAACAAGCAAAACUAUUACUUUCAUGCCAAAUAAAAUACUGCUAAAUGAUCGAUAAAGAUGGAGCUAAGUCCUAAUCUGCCACAAAUACUUGGAUGGCCUUCAUACUCCAUAACAUACACUUCCUUAUCUAGAGGAGACAUCGCAUAUAUUUAUAGAGAAUACAAUUAGUAGAGAAACUUUUGAGGCAUUGAAGCAGGGUUGAAGCAAAUUGGAAAGAGCACCAUGCCUUUUAUCAGCCAAAUUAAAACUAAUACCUAAAGAACGCAAGGCCACUUCCAAAGUCUUGCAUAACAAUAGUAUACAAAGCAACUGCUUAAAAAUGCUGUUAUGAUAGAAGAAACCAAGCAUAAAUGAUACAUCAAGAUGUUCCUAACUUUCAUUAGAAAGCCCAAAAAACAAGGCUUUUACUAAGUGGCCCUAUUGCUAUACAGGUUGAUCUGAAAAACUAAGACUGCAUGAUAAUCUUCAGAUAGGAUAAGGAUUUUCUCAAGUCCACAAACAUGGUGCUCAUGCCACUGAAGGUAUCAAAGACCUUUCAUGAAUGAUUUAUUCCAAAGAAUAAACAUGAAGAAAUUAAAACCAUUGUAAGAAUUAUGGACCUAGUGAUUGGCACAAGGUUUUGGUAUUGGAUACCUUGUAGUUUUUCCUGUUAGUGAAAAGCUGCAAAGUAGAAUACCAACCGAUCAAAAUUGCCACCCCUGCUAAGCAAAAAAUCUGAUUGCAUAAUGUCAGAAAGUUAGAGUACUGAAAUAUAAUAAAAAAAAUUAUCAUAUUAUGUCAUAUAAUCUACAUCAAAAUAUGUAGUUUCUAAAGAAAGCCUUACAUUUCCUAGAGCAAGUAGACCCCUGUCAAAGAAGAGGAUUACACCAAGAAAUGAGAAGAAGAUACCAAAGCCAAUAAGACCCAAGCCAAUCUCUGCAAAAUUAGGCCAAAAUUUCUCAUAUUACAAGCCAAAGUUAAAUUAACUAAUUAAAUAUCUCAAGAGAAAAUAGAAAUAAUUACAGUCAAACAAGUUCAGUGAAAUAUAAAUUUUGUUCAAGUUACAUGGUGAAUUUGAUACCCAAUAAAACUUCACUUCAUGUGUGCUUAUGACCAACUACCCGUCCAUACAUUCAAAACCAGAAGACUGCUCAUAACCCAACAUCAAUGCUUGACACAAUGCAAUCAAAUGUAGGUUCAGUCACUUUAUGACAGCCUACUUUUUUGCAUUCUAAUAAGUUCACAUAAAAUUCAAAGAAACUACAUCGUGCUUAAAUCAUACACUAGGUGAGGUAGUAUGAGAAAUAUAAGUAGAAGAUUCUAUGACAUUGGAAUUUAAGAAAAUGGAAUUUGGAUGUUAAUUUAACUGCAUUUGAAAAGAACCAUAAUUUAAAACAAAACUAUCUUCAUGAAGACAGACAAAUGCUCUUUGGUGAAGCCUGCAUACAUCAAAUACCCAAUCACAUGAUAAUUACAUCCAGUGAAACAAAAUUAUUCUACACAAUUUGCACAUUGGCGCAUGUCUAAUCACUGCAAAAGAUAUAAUGUUUCAAUAAUCCAUAUCAAGCAUGGUAAGGCCACUGUGUGCAAAGUCCAAAUGAGCUCAUAUUUACACAAGAAAACUAUGCUUACUUUUUUGCUCAGUUAUUUCAUACACCAUCUUGAAAUUAUCAGCUGCAAUCCGGAUAGGCGUAAGACCUGUAGGAAGUUCAACUAAUCUACAACAUGAAUGAGAAUUGAAGUAGGAUUCAGGAAAUCAUAUAUUGGCAAUAAAUUAAAACCAUGUUACGACAAAUUUAUGUGUAGUUUUGAGAGUAAGUUGAAUUGAUGUUUAUGAACAAAUCAAAAUCCCCCAUAAUAAUUCAAACAAAUUAACAAGUUACCAAAACAAAUUAUUUAAAAAAUAAAUACAAACAUUUCCUCCUUUAGAUUCACAUGCACAGAAAAAAAUCAUGUAACAAAGAAAAAGAAAAGAAAAGAAAACAAUUCAAGAUAAUAGAAAAAAAAUAUAAAUAUAAACCCAGAAACACUAAAGACUGAUCAAUUGAAAAUCAACGGAAAAAGAGAGUUUACCCUUCAGCAAAGCAAUGAAAGCCGGUCGCUGCUUCCCUGGAAGGCUGAAGCAGAGCUCCGCUACCGAUUGUUUUGACUUCAUUGAAAACGGUCCGUUUAAUGAAUCAUGAACAAUUGCAGGCUUGGGCUUGUAAUUAGAUCCGCUACAAAUGGACCAUUAAUUAAAAGUCCAAAGCCUAGGUUGGGCCUAGAAUCCAAUGUUAAUGCUAGCCCAGUGUUCGGUCAGCUCCUCCAUUGCAAAGAGAAGAAGAAAUCAUGCUAUGACCAUGAACGCUGCCAAAAUCAACAUCAUGUGUCCCAAAAUCAAAGUGAAACUUGCAAUCGCUGCUCAAACACAUUGGUUAAAAGUAUUCAUAAGUACCUGCGCUUUGGGUUUUCGUUAAUUUAGCUUCUUUAUUUUAAAAUUAAUUAAUUUAAUUUUUAUACUUUAAAAUUUUAUACAACUGAAUCUCACUCGUUAAUAUUUUAGUAAUACUGUAAAAUAAAUACUGUAAAUAAUUAUUACUGUACACACUCAACAAUCAUUUUAUCUUAGCUAGAUAAAAAACAUAGUUUAUUUUAUCUAUGAUAACUUUAAAGAUUGAUUUUAGAGUGCUCGUCAGCAAUUAAUUAACAAUGCAUUCCUUUCAACUUCCUAAGGCUAGGGGAUGGAAGUCGGAUAAGAUUUCCAUUCAUUAUAAUUAUUGCUUACUAUAAGUUAAUUUGACAAAUUGUGUUUUUGUAUUUUAAACAUGUUAGAUACGAUUACAUAUGAAACACAUUAAAUUAAAAAUGAAUACGACAUGAAUAAUAUUCGUAUCUUAAAUGUAAAACACGUAUAUAUAUACGUUUAAUAAUCGUAUAACACAACAUGACAUUAUUAACACACUUGUUAAAUGUGUCAAUAUAUGACAUGACAUGAUUAAUAAUAUGAUGAACUCAAUUAAAUAAAAAUAUUUAUAAUUAAAUAUAAUUUUAUUAUUUAAAUUUAAAACUAAUAAUUAUAAAAAUAAUUAUAACCAAAUAAAAUAAUAAUAACAACAUCAAAUAUAACAAAAUAAAAAUUCAAAAUUAGGCUUUGGACAUGGUAUAAUUGCAUUAUUGUUUUUAUAAAAUUUAAAAAACUUAUUAAAAUUAUUAUUUAAAAUUAUUUAAAUAAGGUUAAAACAGUAUUUGAUUAUUAAUUUUAACAAGUUGAUAAGCAUGCCACAUAUACAUGUUUAAAUAUAAUAAUACAAUUAAACACGUAUAUAUAUUUAAAUACAAUAAUACGAUUAAUUAAACGUACUUAAAUGUAUUUUAAACGUGUUACUUGUGUCUGACACAUUAAGAGAUAAAAUACGUUAAAAUUAAAUUCAAACUUAUUUAAUCUCGUAUCUCCUUAUAUCGUAUUAACGUGUUGUGUUCAAAAUUAAUAAAUCUAACUAAACAAAUAUUUGAACCUCUAGUGGAGCUCUAAACCCCAUAAAUAAUGACCAUGAUGUCAGUUUUGCUGGGGGGUUGGUGCAAUGCACCUUGUAAAAGAAGCUUGUUUUUCUUUUAUUGAUUUGUGUACAUAAAAAAAAGGAAAAACAAAAAAAUUGGCUAAAGCCCAAGCUGGGAAGUCAUUAUCAUCAUCAAUAACUUAAUUGAAUCAAAUAUGACUUGAGUAAAAUAGCUCAGUUCAAUUGAUUUAUUGAAUUUAUUGAUUUUAAAAAGUUUCAUCUAAUUGAUUCAUUUAAUCGGUUUUCGAUUUUAAAAUUUUUAAACCGAGCUAAUCAAAAGAUUAAAUUAAUAUUAUAUAUCAUUUUUAUAUUUAUAUAAAAUUUAAAUUUUAAUAUUAAUUUUUAUAUUUAUAUUUUAUAAUUAUGAAUAAAAUUUAUAUAUUUUAAUAUUGUAAUUUAAAAAAAAUGAUCAUUUUGAUCCAAAAUGGAACCAAUUCAUGUUUGAUCCUUUUGAUAUUUUCUUAUAUUUGGUCAAUUUUGAUCAAUUUUUUAAAAAUAUUUGCUUCAGUUUAUUUUUAAAUAUAACGAAUCAAACCGAUCAAACCAUCCAAUUGCUCACUCUCUACUCUCAGGGCAUGCUUAGUUAAGGAAAAUGGAAUAGUCAUUCCUCCUCUAUUCUCAUUAUUGAGAUAAAGCUGUAUUUGGUUCAAUAGAAUGGUUAUUCUUCAGAAUAACCAUUUCAAGAGAAACUUGAAUAGUCAUUACCAAUACCUCUAUUGGUAAUAACUAUUAUAAAUUGUCAAAAAUAAAAAAAGAAGUUGAUUAGACAAAUAUACAUUUUUACAAUUUAAAAAAUUACCUUAUAAAAAAAUACUAAACCUUUUUUUUUUCUCCCUCUUCCUCACUCCUUCUCUCUCUAAAGCACAAAAGACACAAAAUUUUUUACUUCGUUUUCAAAAAAAGAGAAAUGAAAAAAUUUAAAUAUUAUUUAAUAUAUUAAUAUUAUUUCACUAUAAUAAGUAUUAUAAAGUAUAUUACUUAAUAUUAUUAUUUGAAUAUAAUAAAUGCAAUAAAGAAUAUUAUUUAGUAUUAUUUAAAUUUAAUGAAGAAUAUAUUUUAUCUUUAAUAUUAAAUAUUAUUUAAUUAUAAUAAACGGUUUAAUUAUUUUAUAAUAUAAAAUAUUAUUAAAUUAUAAUAAAAAUAUGUUUGUAUUUUGGUGAAAAUAUUAUUUAAUUAUAGUAAAAGUUAUUUUAAUUUUAUUACUCAAAAUACUUUUAUCUUUUAACAAAAUAAAUUCUUUAAUUUUAAUAAAGAGUAUUUAUUUCUCAUAAUAGUUUUUUUAUUUUUAAUUAAAAAAUAUUUAAAUUUUAAUAAAAGGUACUUGUAUCAUUUACUUAUUAUUUUUUAACCAUUUUUAAAAUUAUUCUUACUAACCAAAUAAUGAAAUAAGUAAUAAUAGUAAUUUCUAUCUUAUUUUAUUUUCAUGAACAAUCUACAUAAUAAUUAUUUUUUCUCUAUUAUAUUCUCUUGAAAUGAUGAUUUUAUUUUCAUUUUAUUUUUUUCAAUGAACCAAGCAUGCUAUCAAUCUCAUUGACAGCUGCUUUGACAUAUUCUUCGGAGUGCCAAACUUGUUAUGGUAGAAAAGGGUCCGACCAUGGCAAAUAAGCCUCCUUUAUAAAUUCUCCCAUCCCAUGGAUCAUCAACACCAUUAUAAUAAAUUGUCGCCUAAAGAUAUUUGAGCGGUGGCUUUCUUCAACCAAAUUGGUCAAAGACAUAGGCUGGGUCCGUCUUUGCCAGGAUUUGGGCUUUUCUGGCCUAACUAAAGUUUCUGUCCACUGUAGAGCCCAAAAGAUAUUGGGCUUUAUCUCUCAACUAUUAGUGGAAGAUUGCCCAAAACAUUUGGGCCAAAAAGCAAAAGGGCAAGAAAAUUUGAAUACAGAGUCGCACAACUUGCCUCAAAACUACUUAUAAACCAUAUUCCUCCUUUCCUUCCGUUUCUCCAACUUUCUCUUCUCCCCUUUUUUUGAAUUUGUUUCAAUCAAGAUCAUAUUAUUGCGGCUUUUUUUGGGGGUAGAAGAAAGCUCUUUUGUCAUCGAAAUCAUUGAUUGGUACCUUCUCUCUUUACCCCUUUGUUUAAUUUUCUUUUCCAAAUUUUAUUUUACUAUCAGUUGCAUGAAAUUUUCUAUUGUUAAAUUUAAAUAUCGCUGGGGAAUUGUAAUAAAACCAUAUGAAAAAUGAAUUAAUAAAUGUGGUUUUUCAAUGCUAAUUUGGAUGUUUUAGUUUGCUUGUAAAAACAUUUAGCUAAUUCUGUUUCUUCGCGUCCGUAUUAAUUUUUAUGUUAUUGGCAACGGUGUAAUAUUGGUAAUCUGCUACGUUCAAAGAUAUGGAUGUUACUGUCUUAGGCAUAACCUUUCAAGUUAAAAUGAUCUGCUUCAACUUUUUACUCGCUUUUAGAAUCAAUAUGAAUUUGGGUUGUUGCUUUUGCAAGCAAUUAAUGUCAUUUGAAAGCAUAGGUCUACUGGGGUUGGACUCUUAUUCUAGGUCGACUUAAAAUCCGGAUAGUUUCCGUUAUCAAGUUUAGGUUGCAUCUUGCUUCAGUAACCUCUAUCUAUUACUCUUUUCCUUACUUUGAUGUUUUAGGGUAUAACUGUUUCUGUUACAACAGUUCAUCAUAGGAUCCCGAAGCUUUUAUCUUCUUGAACCUUGGCUUCUUUAGCAUAUUUUUGGUUGUGAGACAUUGGAGAGGAAAUGAAUUUAAAUUACUAGAUAGUAUUAAACUUUAUGUUUAUUAUUGAUUUUAUUUUAAGAAUUUAUCUUGAUCUCAAAUGAGUUGAGUUACAUUAUGGUUUGCUCGGUUGGGGUGCUUAGUUUUCCCAAACAACCAAAUUGAGCAUUAAAAUGAGUACCUGUUAGAAUAGUUAUGUUUGUAUCAUUAGUGUAUGGAGAGAGAAAGAGAUCAGGCAACUCAAUUUCCUUGCUAGUUAUUGCUGUAACAUUCUGAAAUUUUAAUUGAUAUUGAUGUGAGACAAUGUUUUGUAAUAAAAUGUCAAGAUAUUUAUUCCAAGCUAAGCUGUCUAAUUUGAGGAGAUGUAAGCAAUAUUCCUUCCGAUUCUUUGGCCUUAUUCUACAAAUUUGUGGAUCGCUGAUAAGAAGUGGCCUUUUUAAACUUUAAGUAUAGGAGUGAAAAGGUCAAAAGACCUUACAACCUGGAAAUGCAACUUUUAGGUUAAAGAAUCAAUUUGGAAUAAUUUAAAUUGUUUACAAGGUUUAAUAUAGUUCGCAAUCAGCUUUGUUGAACUGUCUUGUGGUUCUUUGGGUUUUGAUUCGGUUUGGUGUUGUGCUGGUACAUAGAUUUUAAGAAUUCUCAGAUUUGAAACGCUAUCUACUUGCUUAAGACAGGUAAAAAUUACAAAAGAAAAAAACUGUUUCUUUCCAACAGAAAAAAGAACAUAAUGAAACUAAGAACUAAGUUGUUGCUGAUGUUUUGUUUUUCCCAAGACACGUUGGGGUGUUGCGGUUUCACCAUCAAAGGAGAAUGAAAAUUUUAAUGGUUAGUUGUAAAAUUUGUUUGUAAGAAUCUUUGUUGUUUUUGUUCGCCGGUCACUUUAACAUAUCCUGUCUUUCACCUAGGAAAGUUUUAUUGUUGUGUGUGUGUGUGUGUUUUUUUGUGGUUAUCUCUUUGUAUAUGCUUUGCUUGCAGUGUAAGAGCUUAUGGGCAUUUUCUGCUUUUAUAUUCUUUUUGGGUUUUUAGAUGGGUUUUCUUUUCUGGGGUAUGCUUGUAUUUUUGUUAUUUAUAGUUGUGCUUUAUAUAUUUGUCUACUUUUUUGAAGGAAGAAUCAUUGGCCGCACUUUCAUUCUUUUUUGGAAGAGAAAGAAGAUAAAGGAUGGGAAGAAGAUUAGGAGUUGGAAGGUCCCCUUCCUCCUCCUCCUCUGUGCUUAACCAAAAGAUUCUCAGCCGUCGACUCUUGUCAUGCCAGCAGUAUGCUGGUUCCACAGUCGAUGAAAUUGUGGAGCUCCUUCAAACUAACUACCCUGAUUACAGACGCAUCAAGAAGCAACCUUUAACCAGGGUGGUCAAACAGGCCCUACAAGCUCUUCAGUCCUCUUCCAAAAACAGCCAAAAGGCCUCUCUUUCCGUUUCUGAUUUCAACUUUGAUGAUGAUGGACACAAUGAACUUGCCAUUGCACCUUUUUCUUCUUCUCCUCCUCCUACCUGUUCUCGGAAGAAGCCAAGGAGAAUGGAUGAGACUGAAGAAAGGUUACAGCGUAUGGAGGAUUUGCACAUUCAAAGGCGACAGAUGCAGCACAACUCCAACUCUGAGUUAGACUCGGAGUCAUCUUCUUCUUCAUCAUCGUCUUCAUCUGAAGAAGAAGAAGAUGGGGCAGUUUCGACUUCGGAAGAUGCCAUUUAUGGCCAAAAAGACGAGCCCAAGUUUGAUUUAAUGAAAUCAAUGCUACGACAAGGUUACACUCAAUCCAACAGCUCAAUAUCAAAGCUUGAAGAAAAAAAUAUUGAAAUGGAGAUUGCAACUAAUAAGCCUAAGAGUAAGAUUGAUAUGACCAAUGCGAACAAAGAGAGUGCUGAAUUGAAAAAGGAAACAAAGGUUUCAGUUUCUGUAGGCGCUGCUGCUGAUGGUGUGGAGGUGAAAGGGAUAGAGGGGCCAAGGUUCAGGGAUUUAGGUGGGAUGGGAGGAGUGUUGGAGGAGUUGAAGAUGGAAGUCAUUGUGCCUCUUUACCAUCCACAUUUGCCACGGUGGUUGGGAGUCAGGCCAAUGGCUGGCAUUUUGCUCCAUGGACCGCCUGGCUGUGGGAAGACCAAAUUGGCCCAUGCCAUUGCCAAUGAGACUGGUGUUCCCUUCUAUAAAAUUUCAGCUACCGAGGUGGUUUCUGGUGUCUCAGGUAUUCGCCUUCUGUUAUAAGUCGUGCUGCUGAAUAUGAUAAUUAGGCUGAGCAUGAUUCUUGAAGUUGUUGUGUAGAGUUUGGAUAAAUGAAAUUAUUUCGUUAACAAUGAUGGGAAGCUUUAGUAAAGGCAAUGUGUUUGCUAAUAGUUUAUAGUUUCAUAUUUAAUUUCUCAGGUGCAUCAGAAGAAAAUAUCAGGGAACUCUUCUCAAAAGCAUACAGGACUGCCCCAUCGAUUGUAUUCAUUGAUGAGAUUGAUGCUAUUGCAUCUAAAAGAGAAAAUCUGCAGAGGGAGAUGGAGCGCCGGAUUGUCACUCAGUUAAUGACUUGUAUGGAUGAGUCUCAUGGACUUGUGCAACCAAGUGAUAAAGAGUCAAAUUUGGAGAGCUCUGAUUCCAAACCUGGUUAUGUCCUUGUAAUUGGAGCUACCAAUAGACCUGACGCUGUUGACCCUGCACUACGGCGGCCUGGACGAUUUGAUCGCGAGAUUGUUCUUGGUGUUCCGGAUGAAAAUGCUAGGCAUGAGAUCCUUUCUGUGCUUACACUAAACCUUAGACUCGAAGGCUCUUUUGAUCUUUGGAAAAUAGCUAGGGCUACACCAGGGUUUGUUGGAGCAGAUUUGGCUGCCUUGGCUAACAAGGCUGGUAAUCUUGCCAUGAAGAGGAUCAUAGACCAAAGAAAGCAUGAGUUUUCUAGAGAAUCUAUAGAUGAGGAACAAGCUGAUGAGUGGUGGAGGCAGCCUUGGUUGCCUGAGGAGAUGGAAAAGCUCACCAUUACCAUGGCUGAUUUUGAGGUAAUUAAAGCUAAACUUUUUUCUUUUCAUUUAUUUAUAUGAUUAAAAGUAACCUGACAUGUAUGCUUAGUGGCUUACAUGUGUUCUAUGCUAUUAUCUGCAUGUCUGUCAAUGCCAUAGAUAUCAAAGUUGUUUGGGAAAUGAAUUUGUAUUGUCAUUUCUAGAUUCAAUUUUACUACUUGCAAGUUUCUCUUUGACUGCUAUGUGAUAUAGUUUAAUUGCCAUGAUUAAGAGUUCUAAUGAACUAUAGAGUUACACUUGAUGUUUUUAUAAUAGUUUGAAACAAAGGUGUUGUUUUUCUGUAUCUGUUAUACAGAAGUAAUUCCUUCACAUUAGAAAGUUUUAUAUGAAACUUAUGCCCUUUGUUUAUGUAUUUGCUUACUUGAUCAUGCCCCUUUCUUUUUCUCUUUUUUAUAAAGAAAUUGAAAAAUGUUUUACCUGCAGGAAGCAGCUAAAAUGGUUCAACCCUCAUCAAGAAGAGAGGGAUUCUCUACAAUUCCAAAUGUUAAGUGGGAGGAUGUUGGUGGUCUUGAUUUCCUAAGGCAGGAAUUUGACCGUUACAUAGUUAGGCGCAUAAAAUUUCCCGAGGAUUAUGCGGUAAUUAUAGAUAGUAGCUACCUCUUUAUUCUCUCUCUCUCUCUCUCUCUCUCUCCUGUUCCAAAAGGGUUAAGAAUAGACAUAAAAAAUAGAAAUGAUUUAAAAGGAGUAGGAUUAGCCUUCUUAACAUGGUAAAUGGAAGGAAGCCAACCAUGGAAAAAUUGGUUAGAAUGUUUGAAACAUGUCUUACAUGGUCUCCAACUUUGUUGACUUGCAAGCUCAGCAUAACUACAAUCUAGGCCCAUAUAUACUUUGUCAGUCAGAUUGCUAUUAUAAAAUGUGCUUUUCAAAUCUUUGAAUUAUUCACAAUGUCAGGAAUUUGGAGUGGACUUGGAGACAGGAUUUUUGCUUUAUGGACCACCAGGCUGUGGUAAAACAUUGAUUGCAAAGGCUGUCGCUAAUGAGGCUGGAGCCAAUUUCAUUCACAUCAAGGUCAGUCUGCAGCGUAUAUUUCCUCUUGAUUCCAAUUUCUUGUUCACUUUUUGUUUGUUAAAGAUGAUGUUAACUGGUACUUCAAUGCUGUAAGCUAAUUUUUCUAUGUUUGUGUUGCAUUAAACUCUUAACGAUUAUGAGUGCACUUGCUGAUUAGGGUCCUGAACUUUUGAAUAAAUAUGUUGGAGAAAGUGAGCUGGCAGUGCGGACAUUAUUCAGCCGUGCUAGGACAUGUUCACCAUGCAUACUUUUUUUUGAUGAGGUUUGUGGUUCUCUAUUUUUCCAUUUCUAAAUGAAAGAAACAAUUCUGGAGAAAAUAUUACUACUCCUAGUGUCUUGAGAUUUGAUAUUUUUGACGUCUUUCUGAUAAUGUGUAGGUGGAUGCUUUGACCACAAAGCGUGGAAAAGAGGGGGGAUGGGUUGUUGAGCGACUUCUGAACCAGGUUAGAUAAUCUAUAAUGGUGAUCUCUUAACAAACUCAUGAUCAACUUUUUUAUCUUGUCUGUAUAACAAAUUUUCAAAUUGCAAAGAAUGACAUGGAAGCAUUGGUCAUAAUUGCAGUUACUGAUAGAGUUAGAUGGUUCGGAUCAGCGGCGUGGAGUAUAUGUUAUUGGUGCCACUAAUAGGUAGAAUCUGUUGUUUCCAGUUUUUGAACGAGGAUCACCGUUUAUCUUUUCUUUACUCUGUUUGGUUUUGGCAGACCUGAGGUGAUGGAUCGUGCUGUCUUACGGCCUGGUAGGUUCGGCAAACUUCUCUAUGUCCCUCUCCCCAAUCCAGUUGAACGUGGGUUGAUCUUGAAAGCUCUUGCUAGGAAGAAGCCAAUAGAUGCCAGUGUCGAUUUGAGUGCCAUUGGACGUAUGGAGGCAUGUGAUAAUUUAAGUGGAGCUGAUCUUUCUGCACUGGUAUGCCCGCAAUUUGUUUUUUUGCUUGAGUGAAAGUUAAAGAUUGAAAACAUCUUCUGAAACCUUUUGUGGGGCUGGGUUUGCUGCAUUGCUUCAUCGGUAUGCUUGGAGAUCAAUGUCCAUUAACUGCCAUUAGGAAACAACUAACAGAAUUUCUUUCUUUCUUUUCUUUUUGCUCCUUUCGACAGUAUCCAACCAUGUAUACAUAGAAGCCUCGUUCUACAUUAAAGUCCUAGAAAGGACUGGUUUUUCCCUGAAAGACUAAUUUACAUUUUUGAUGUUUCCUCAUUAAAUACUAGACAUGUUAAGGCUAGCCCAGAAAGUAAAAUACUUUGCAAAAGAACCCCUGAUCUGUUUCAUGAUUCUAGACUUGAGCUAUGCCCCUUGUGUGCAUUGUACUUCUAGAAGAACUUAAUCAAAAUUGUAAAAAUUUUAAUCAAAAUUGGGCUUGAAAAUAUUCAGAUGAAUGAAGCUGCAAUGGCUGCUUUGGAAGAGAAACUCACAUCAACUGGGAUCUCAGAUACUUCAUGGACAAUCAAGACAUUCCAUUUUGAACGAGCACUGAGUAAAAUCUCACCCUCAGUCUCCGAUAAGGUAUAUUUUACCUUCACUCACUCAAUUAUGGCUUCUGACGAAUAGAUUCUUGAUAGCAUUGACUAUGUAAAUCUGUAAUUACCCUAUUUUUAAUAUCUUGAUCAUCUGGGAACAGCAAAAGCAGUUCUACCAGGCAUUGUCAGAGAGCUUCAAAGCAGCUUGAGAAGAGACAAAUCCCCUUUGUUAUACCAUUAGCAGGAGCUGUAAUUGAUGUCUGAUACUGAGAAUUGCAUUGCAAAGAAGUCAUUCUCAACAUGAAGAUGGGUGUGAAUUGUUCAACUGUACUCUGUUUAUAUGCUUUUUUGGGCCUAAUAUUGAGUGUUGAAGGAAACUUGCUUCUCUCCUCAUGAGCGAAAAAAAUUUUGUUCCGGCACAUUAAGAUUUUGUUAGUGGUGGAAGUAGUUUGCAGAAAAUACAGCGGAGAAACAUGUAUUUAUCCAUUUUAAGAAAUGCAAGGGGACUUGUUGUAUUAGUUCACCCCUUUUGAGUAAAGGUUCCACCUCAUAAACUACCCUUUUUCCUUUGUUUCGAUCAGGAAAAUUGAAGACAAUUUGACUGCUGAAUGUGGCAUUCUUUUCUGCUGUAUGAAGAACUUGAUAUACCUGUGUAGAUUUAGCUCUAUUUUGAAAAGCUUGAUGUGGCUGUAUAAUUGGAAGUCCAAAGCCAAGGUUGGCCCUAGAAUCGAAUGUUAACACCUAGCCCAGUGGUCAGUCAGCUCCUCCAUUGCAAAGAGAAAGAGGAGAAGGAAGAAAUCACGGUAUGACCGUGAAAGCUGCCCAAAUCAACAUCAUGUGUCCCAAAAUCAUGCAAAGUGGAAAUUGCAAUUGCUAGGCAAACAUAAUUGGCCCGCGGCCUCGGCUCACAAGGAACAUGAUGCAUCAUGUUCAGCCAUGAGAUAGAACGUGAUUGUCUCCGGUCAUUUGCUUUGCUCCAUUAUUGCAUACGUGAUGUGAUGGCUGCCUUCGCAAUUAAUGUAACACUUUUUUUGUUUUAGGUAUUCAAAUGGUACAUUAUAAUUUUUUUAAAUAAUUAAAUAAUUAAUUCCUAAACAAUAAUCAUUCCAUCACUUUUUAAUUUUAUGAUACUAAAUUUAAUAUCACAUCAAUACAAUAAAUUAUCAUAUCAAUAUAAAUAGUGAAAAUUUUUACUACGUUAAUGAUUGGAUUGAUAUUAUUAAUUUUAAAAAAUAUAAAAAUUCAACUUUUACAAACUAUUAUAUAAAAAUUAAAUCUACUACUUUAACAACAUACAAGAACUAAUUACGUUAUUUGACGUUUUUUUACUCAUAUAUAAAUUGAGAUUAUAAAAAUAAAAAUAAUGCUUUCUUAUUUCAAGAUUCAAAAAUGAGAUUUUUAAAUCAUAAAUAUCUCGUUGAAAAUUAACAUUACAAAUUGACCCUAAUAUUUGUCCUUCUCUCUUGACUCAGAGUAAGGGUGGAUCCAUGUUGACACAAGUGAUGUCAUAUGACACCAUUGAAAUGUUAAAAAUUUAUACUAAUUACAUUACUUAUAUCAAAGUUUUUAUAUAAUUAAUAAUAUUAAUACACUUAUUAAUUAUUUUAAUUAUUAAUAUUAUUAUUUUAAUUAUGAUACUAUCCGCGUUUCUUACUGGAAAUGAGAGAAAUCUUUCGAAUACAGCAAAAGUUCUCAUAAUGAAACCCAGCCCCACGACCAUGACAGGUAUAAGCAAAACAACCCACUUGUCCGGCUCAUUUAGCUGAUUUAGACAGAAAGAGCGGACACCUGCCCUCCCUACGAGAUACCAACUGCUCAGAAUUCAGAACUUGUUCAAGAACUGACCUUCCCAGAACUUGCAAAACCCAGAUACUUACUGUCCCAAAAGACACAUGACCCUCUAAAAAUGUGACAAGUUGACUCUAUUGUUGGGGCAAUUAAAUGUUGCCCACUCCACCUGUCAGUAUAAAUACAAAGAGACAAACAACCACACUGAUUCCAUACUUAAAUUGGAUGGUAGCUUCAUAAUCAAGUGAAGGAUUUGUUUAAACCCUGCAACGAAAACACAGAAGAAAAAUGAUCUUAUUAUAGACUGAAAUUUUUGAAUUUGACCAAUGUGUAAGAUUGUCACAUAUUUAUUAAAUUAUAGUUAACAUAUCAAUAAAUUAAACUAAUUACUAAAUAGAUACGAACUAAAAUUUUCACUAUCAUCUAUCGAUGUAUCAAAAUAAUAAUUCAAAAUAUAAUAUCUCUAAUGAUUCAGUUAUACACACAACCAGACGGCAUUCCAUCGAAAAGGAAAAAUAAAGGAUAUGUUUUGUCCUAGAUAUGAACUAAUCUUAACAUUUCUUAUUUGGAUUCCAUGUGACAUAAGAUGAGUCAAAAUAAUUAUAUUACUUGGGAAAUUAAAUGCUUGGACUUUCUGAGACAGGACAUUGGAAUAAACCAAGAGGCUCAUGAGCUCUCGAGUCCUCCAUGAAUGAAUGGUUUGCAAAACGCCAAAUGUUUAGGUCCAGGCCAGCAGGCUGCCUGCUACCAUGGAACUCCUAUUUUGACUGCUUAAUAUAUUCUAUUUACUAUAAACUUUUUGCCAUUCAAAAAGUUCCUUAAGCUUGAAUGAGUUACAUCUUCUACAAUUUGGACAAUAAAAAUGAAUGUUCAGAAUUUCGAGUUUAGAAAGAGAUUAUCUCUUAUUACGUGAAUUCUAAUGGGUCUCGAUGUAUAAUUAAAUAUCACAUAGUUUUAAGUUACAAAUUUGAGCUUAAAAAAAUUAAUGAAAAGUUAAAGAGAGAAAAACAUUGGAAGAUGGGCAGAGUGAUGAUGAAGACUUUUGAUUAAUUAUUAGUUGAAAAAGUCCAAAAGAGUGAGGUCCCAGCAGGAGCGUACUGCUGGGGCAAGGAUAAUAUUGUUUUGCCAUUAUGCGUAUUGGCCUUAUAAUUUUCCCAAGUCACAAUCGUACGUCUCCUAACGCUAGUUCACUGCCAGCAUUGGAAGAUUGGAAGUUUCGCUGUCAGGGCCAUGGCUGCCUUUUCACUCAGCUGGCCGGUCUGAUAUUUUGUUAUUUAUUUCCCAAUUUUAUCUCUAUAUAUCUCACAUGUUAGAUUGAUUCCCCAUGAAGCUAAUGCUUGUAAGGGAUGCCAUACACGACUUUCUUCUUUAAGUAAAGCAUUAUCACAUAAAAAUAUGGGGAAAUGGUUGCUAUCUUCUUGUAUGUUUUGGUUGAGGCCCAAAUUAAGUUGAUAAUUACCUUUGUCUUAAUUUCAGAAUUAGUAAUGUUGGGAAAACAGAAAGAGAACAAUGGAUUGUUUUUGGAUGAAUUGUUGAAUGUCGGUAACUAUAAAUUUGUGAAAGUUGUAGUUGUGGAAUUAUAAAGGGCUCUAAAAGUCGUCCAAACUUAUUUAGUUACCAAUUAAUAUUAGUGGAACCCUACUUGACAAGAUGCUAUGAAUGACUUGCAAUUGUCUGGGUCUUAUACACUAAGUUGAACGCUGAGGUGCCCACAGAUUUAAGUCUAAAGCUAAAUUAGUCUAAAGCUAUGCUGAGUUUGGGGUCCACCCCAAAUUAGUAAAAAUUAGUAAAAACUCUCUAAAUAGACGAAAUCUGGCCUACUUUUAAUCUUUUUUAUAUGGUAGAAAUGUAUUAAGAGAGGGAAAAAAAAGAGAGAAAAACAUGAAUUUUUACAACAACUUAUUUAAAAAAAAUGAUGUUAUGAUAUUUAGAUCAUACGUACAUAAACGCAUAAAAUGACACUUUAAUGAUUAAAAUUAAAAAUUUUCAAUUCAAAUUCUAUGAUAAAAUUUAUAUUUUAUCAUAUGUAUAAAAUUUGAGAUAUAUAAAUUUAUAAUUUUAUAUGAUUACUCUUUAAUUACUUUUUUCACAAAAUUUUAAACCCAUCUCAAGAGAAGAUUAACUGUUUAUAUAAUCCUGAAUUAUAUGUGCUACAGAGGGUGCGGGUGAAACAAGAGCAGCGCAAUGAGAAGGCAAAAUUGAAGUAGACUUCUCUCUCUUAUAGAAAAGGAGGAGAAGCCACCGAACACGUGCUCAGUAAUUGGCUGUCCUUUCUCUCGUAAAUGACCCCAAUGCCACAUGCAAGUCUUUGCCCAAUUUUUGUUGUUUAACAAUCCCAAUAGUCCCCCAUGAUAGCAAUGGCCAAAGCGAUCAACGUCACCACUUGUAAUUCACAAAGGAGUUUACAUGCAUCGCCACCUCCAUUUUCGUCUUGCUUUUCCUCCCUGUACAAUUUUGGAGGUUGUAAAAAUCACUUCCUUUCAAGUACAAGGCGUGGAAGAUAAGUCUUUGCAAAUUUUUUAUUUCUUUGGUUUUUUGUACGAUGGAUAAGGUUUGCAUAAUUCUUUAAUUGCUCCUUUGCUACACUAUAGUUGGUUGUUGGCUUGUUGCUAAUCAUCCCUCUAAUCUUACAAAAAAUUAUUGAACACACAUCAUGAAAACUACGGAGUACGGACAAAUUUUCUUUAAUUUUUAACUUCAAGAAAGUUCACAUAUAUUAUAUAGAAAUUUUCUGUCAAAUCUUGAUACAUCACUCACUUAUGUAAAAAAAUUUGGUUAACUGACGGAGGUCUAUAGGCAUUGGCUGAAGAUAGUUUUAAAAAAAUUCAAUUAAUAUGAUAUUUUCGUCAGAUUCAUGAUGGAAAAUGCAUUAGUUAUAAUUUUUUUUUAAAAAAAAAUAUUACAUUAGUUGGUGCCAAGAGGAAUCUAUUACUAUUUUUCAUAAAAUUUUUGCUCUUAUAGUGACAUCUUAAAAAAAUUGAAUCACAUAGAAAUGUACUCCUUGUGGUACUGUCAAGUUCAGUGUUGACAAUUCAAUGAAGUGCAGCCCAAGAGAGACAGGAAUUGGUGACCGGCUUCACAAUUCAAUGAAAACCUAUUGGUUAUGUUGAUUCAAACCUUAUUGAGUUACUUGCUACUAUAGAAGUUUUUGUUAUUCUUGUUGUUUUUAAAUGAGACAAUUUUUAUCUUAAUUGAUUGAAAAUGAUUAAUCAAAUGCAGUUGACUGAAUGUUAAACUCCCAAACUUUUUUUUGGAGUCUAGAAAUUUUCUCCUACAAAUUAAAUAUUUAAAAUAUCAGAUGAAUAGUUGAAAAAUACAACAUAUUUUCUUAAUUGCAAGUAAAUUGACUGAUGGCUUAUUAUGACACUCUUCGUCAACAAAAGUUGUUGAUGGUGAUUAGUUAAAUUGUUGAUAUAUAUACGUAUUAGAAAUUUUUGUAAUUGUUUUGUUCUUAUUAAUUAUGUACUGGUUUGCUCCAAUACAUAUUAAUAAAGAAUCAUAUGCUUUUCCACACAAAAAAAAAAAAGGGUCAAUUACAAAAAUAUGUAUGAAUUAGGGUAAAUUACAUGCAUAAAGUUCUUGCAAAGUUAACAAGCAAAACAAAUGACUUUUUUGGAAACCUUUCAUUUAGAGAUGUAACUAUCAGCUAGAAAAUUCCAUAGUGACAUUCGAACAUCGUUAUCCUCUUCUCCAUUUCUUCUUUUAUUGAUCCGUUUGAUUAAAAUGUUUUGCAUGUGGCUAGGCAUGUAAGGUGAAAAGAAGGUUUGAACUGAUAUCACGAGAAUGUAGACAAAGUCUAUAUGGCCGUUUCGUCAUGUUGAAACUAGGGCUACGUUCUACAUUUUUUUAUUCCUAAGUAACUCUUUUGACAUGAGAAGGGUUGACAAAGCAUGCUGUUGAAAAUUGACAUGGAAGUAAUCGAUAAUUGAUAUUGAACAACUGUCGGUGAGAAACAAGGAAUAUUGUGAUAUAUAUAUAUAUACAUAUGGAGGAUCCUAUGACAAGGUAAAUUGUUAAUUUUCUUGCCCAAGGCCAAUGGUCAAGAAAACAAGUGUUUCUGUUGAUAUAGAAAGCCACUCACGUCAAUUCGUCCUUCAUUUUGUUUUUUUUUUUUGGGGUUAGUUUUCUGAUUAUUUUUAUUACAUAUAUAAAAGCAGCAAAACUCAUAAUUAAGAAGCACAAGCCGAGCAAUUAAUCUCUGAAAAUAGAUUUAAGGAUUUGUAUUUUCGUAUCUUAAUUUGUGUCUUAUAAAACAUAAAUUAUUAACAAUUAUAUAAAUAAAUACAAAUACAAAAUGAUUAAUUAAUUUUUUUAAUUUUUUUUAAAAUAUAUAUAUUAAAUUGUCAAAUUUUAAAUCAUAUCGAUACAAUUAAUACACAAAAUAAAAUUAAUUUAAUCAAAAUCCGUUUAAAUAUGUGUCAUGAACUUACGCAAAAUUGUCAAAGACUACCUAAAACCAUAAUGACAGCUCUCUCGCGUCAGGUUAACCACUAGAUUAGAAGAGGGUUCGCAUCAGAGACAAGUUAAUCCGUACAGGAAUUAGCUUCACAAAAAAACAUGCUUCAGUUCACAUUGCCACUCCUAGAAAGAGGAAAGCUAUGGAGAUGGUUGUUAAUUUCAUCAGAAGAUAAAACAAGUAAUUCGGGACAAAAUAUACAGAGAGAGAGAGAGAAUUCGGAUGAUAUAUGAAAUUUAAUAGUAAAAAAUAUUCCUUCUAAUUGAAAGACAUAAAUAGAUCAAGUAAAAGCGACAAUAGCUUAAUUCUCAAGAGCCCACAACGUGCAAGACCAAAUCUACAGAAGACAAAGACGUGACGAAGAUUUUCUCCAUGAUUUUUCAAUAAUUUCAAAUAUAGCUAUAAUUAGGGUGGAGUGACUGUUAACAGCCAUAGACUUUUUUUAAGCAAAUUUGACAAAAAUCAUAAAUGAAAAAAAUUUAAUUAGGCUUAACUUGCUGCCAGCUACUAGUUAUGAAUCACACGAAAGACUGACAGUGAUAUCAACUUUUUUUUUAAAAUAUAUAUUUUUUUUAAUUUUCAAGUUGGAUAAGUUUCGAAGUGUGACCAAGUGUCCAAACUUUGGCCAAAAGCCUUCACUUCGCUGGACUGUCGUUUUCCUUAUUUUGGCCUUGGGGUUGGUGGCAUGUUGAUCAUCGAAGCUUAAUUUUCAGGUCAAAAAAUGUGCAUACAUUCUCUCCUUGCCAGAUGCCCAUGUCCCAAAACUAUUAAUUAAUUCUCUAACAAAGGACAUUAUCCCUUUCUUUUGCCUUUUCUUUCUUAAUUUUGUUGUUUAAAGUAAACAUGACUUACCUAAUCAGUAAUCCUAGUCUACAUUGAGUUCCUGCUGAACUUACUGUACUUACGUGUUCACCGAGACAAAAGUCAAUUCAAAAGGCAAAAUAUUUUUAAAAAUUUAAAUAAAAUUUAAUUAUUUUAUUAUAUUUAAUUAAAAUUUUAUAUUUUUAUUUUAAAUUAAAUAAAUUUUUAUAAUUAACAGUUGAUUCAUUCUAACCCAUAAGAUAUAAAUGAUAAAUAAAUUUUAAUUACCAACCGUUCGUUAAUGUUAGUUAUAGGAAUUUUAUUGAUCGAUAAUAAAAAUAUAAAAAUUUAAUUGAAGAUAAUAAAAUAAUAAAAAUAAUUUAAAUUUUCAUAAAUGAUUUAAGAAUUUUUUUUAAAUAUUAUGUCUUAUCUUAAUGAAUUUUUUGUUGUGAAUUUAUAAGUUACCAAAAAAAUUGUAUAAAAAGUGCACUACAUUAAUAAGUAUCUAUUCCAUUUAAAUUUUAAUGACAUACAUUCAUAUAUCGUUUUAAAUGAUAUAAUAAUUCAAAGAAAAUGUAACAGAUCAAUCUCUUUAAUUAAUCAACACAAAAUUUUUUAUAUUAAAGGCUAGAUCCAGAAGGUCUUAAAAAAGGACAAUUUAAUGUCAAGAUUUUAAGGCAGAAUCAUAGAAAUCUUGAACGUGUAUAUCAAGAAAUAAAAAUCUAGCAAUACUUUUAAAACGUGCACCUCAUACAGCUGCCCAAUAUAAACCCUAUUUCUCGUAUUUAAAAACUUCACACAAAACCUCAAAUUUAUUUAUUUUUCUUUAUUUUUUGCUGUAAUCCAUGCUGAAGAUAUUAUUAUGCAUAUACUAAUAUAUUACCAGGAAUACAGCAUUGUCGGUCAUUAAACAAAAAAAAAAUUGAAGGGAUUAAAAGCCACCUCCCCCACAUUGCAAAGUGUAAUUAAUUGCAUGUACAAUUAAAAGAAGGACAAAUUGGGAAACAAUGAAUAAAACAAUAAACUUUAUAUUAUAUGGCCGAUUUAUUAGCUGUUAGCGGCGGCUGGCUCUUUUGGCUGGGCAUGCCAAUUAUGUGCAUCCAGUCAAUAUGAAAGGAAAUGGGAUCAAUACCCAUUAAUGAAUAAGGUAUCAACAUUUUUUUUAUGAUAAUUAAUUUGAUGCAUUUUUCUUUGGUUGUACUUGGAAAAUUGUUCUCUUCUGGCACGUUCUAGGAAAAACAGUAACCAUUGGAUUCAAAUUGGAUAAAUAAACUUUCUCUAAUCCCCACCAAAAUGUUGUUUAGGUUAGUGAUUUUAGAACAUAAUUAGGUUAAAUAUAAUACUAAAUUUUGUGAUGGAUGACACUUUAAAUUGCAAUCAAACUAAUUGAUUGAACUCGAAUUCCCUCUUCUCAAUCGAAAAAAUAAAUAAAUAAAAUAAAAAUGUGAUGCGAUGAAACGAAAUUAAUAAGUGUCAUUAAUCAAAGGCAAAAAUCGUAUCGAAGAUCACUGCCAUGCAUGUGAGUAGUCGUGGGGGACAAUGCUUAAUUGAUUUGAUGCUGAUAUGUCGAUCCAUCAAGGGCCAAUAAUAUUCCUUUGAAUUAUUAUUGUUUAAUGAUUGUUUUAAUUAAACGUUAAUUCAUCGAGAAAGCAAUAAACGUGGAGGGUCACAUAGUUUUGUCCUGUUUGUUUUACGAGAAAAUUUUUGCUGUCCUCUUAUAAGCACAUGAGUUUAAAUACUUGUUUGGAACAAAUGGGAAGACCCAAAACAGCUUCUUCCAUGUUUGCAUCGGCAUCAAUAAAUCAAGGAGGUUUAGCCUUAAUAGCUAAUAGACCAAUCAAAGAUACAUCAAAGACUAUAAACAGUUGAUAUGAUUAUUCAAAGACCAAAGCCAAUAAUUGUUUCUAUUGACAAAUAGCUCUCUUUCCAUGUAAACCAAUGAUUUCUACUUAAAUACAGCUCACGUAUACAUAGAAAACUAUGCAUCAAACGUUUAUUUUACAUCUUAAAUUGGAGAGAAUCUCUUUAUCAUCAAGUUGAUCUCAACCGUACACCAGUUGAGCUAAGCCUGAGGAUUAAUAAUUCUGCAGUGUCCUUGACUUCUGGAAGCUCAUGAUAAAUAAAAACAAAAAUCAUUCCAGAGCAUAGAAGCUGCCAGAAGAUGAUUCACACAGGGGCCGGUCACUUUGUAAAGUGCAAACAGUACGUCAUGAUGUAAUAAAAACCCCAAAAUUGCUUAGAACAAGAUGUGCAGAAAGGGCUAGAACUGAUUCAUGAUACAUUUUGCAGAAAGGAAAGAAAAAAGGGGGAAGAAGAACCCGACAGUGUUAGGUGAGGAUCACUUGAGUGUUUAAUUAUACAAGCUGUGCCAAGUGGCUACCCAAAAUUGAAAUGUUAGUGAGGAGAACUUAGAUGUAAGUGGUCCUUUGAUGACUUCAACAUGGAUAGUUACUAAAUUUUGUAGUCUUUCUUUAUAUUUGCCCCUUGGUUACUCCAUGAAUCCUACAUUAUAAGCAUUUGAAAAGGACAAGUUUUCCACCAUUUUAAUUCCUCCAUUCUACUGUUUUCUUUUUUUCCUCUUGUUUACUGUCUUCCACUAACCUAGCCUGUAUACCCUGUCUGUUCUUUCUAAUCCUUCCUCCAAAGGCAAUCAUAACAAAAAGUAGAAGCAAAAUUAUAUAAGAUAAUGUUUCCAUAUUCCUUUACCCUUUGGCCCCAACAACUCAACUCUACCUUUAACACACUCUGAAUUAGACUUUUCAAUGGUGUUACUUUACACGGCAUUGACUGUGUUAUAGAAAAACAGGGGAGAUAUGAUCUUAGGAUAUGAAAAAAAUGGCUUGAUUUGCUUCUCUCUCUUUUUUUCUUUUAUUUGUUCUCGACAAAGGGGGAUUUUAUUUAUGAAUGACAUGACUGACUUGAUCUAGAUUUGUGUCCUAACCACAUUACUUUAAAAAAAAAUUAGGCUUAAUUACUGUGACAGAGCAUUAAUUGUCCAAUUUCUUCAUUAUCAUAUUGAUCACAAUCUGACAGCUAAUUUAUGCAACAAUUAAAACUAGUUGAGAGUACCCUGAGAAGUUGACUUUCAGGCUCAUGAGGCCUGCAUUUUUCACAAUCUAGAUAGAAAUUAAGAAAAAAAAAAUUGGAGAUAUAUGGAGUAUUACAUAUAUGCUUUGUCUCAAAAUACAAGAAAUCGAUUAAUCUAUCUAUCAAAAAUGGAUUUGAAUUUGUCAAAAUACUGAUAUAAAUGACACUAAACACAAAACCCAGAAUAAAUUUAUGGAAUUGAAGUAAAUUUGAACAGGUUUUUGAGGGUGGUCCAAAAAGAGGAAGUAGCUGAUUAUAGGACAGCGGGGACAAGGCUGCUCGUGUUCUGAGAAACUUGAAUUAUUAUUUCUUGCACGAAAAUGAAAUUCAACUCAACAUAAAGUAUUAUUUCAUUUUUUUUCUCUCUCUCUCUUUUAACAACUUUUUUUUUUGUUUCUCUUUGGUGUGUAGCUUAAAUUUCCUGCAAAAGCUGCGGGGCCACCUGAUUCAAUUUCACAUGCCCCUGCGUCAUGAUUGAGAAAUCACAUGGAACAUGAGAAACCGAUAGAAAAAUUUAAAGCCUUCCAAUCAGUGAAUGGAGGGUGGGUAUAGACGUGCCAUUGUUUGCCAUAAACGUGCAUGUUUUGAUGAAUAAAAAAAAUUAGCCAGAAAUUGCACCGAAACCAGAAAAAAAUUCUAGAUAAUAACAGAACAGGUGGCCUGAAUCAUAGCUCUUCUGUAAUUUACUUGCAUGGUAAUAUGAACUGUCCGUCUUCCGACUUCGAUCCCUAUAUUCUGCUUCGGAUUUAUAGAGUUUUGGGGUUUUAUACAUUUUUGUGAACAAGGAUUUGGUGACUUUUCUGACAUCAUUGUUGAAAUUUGAUAUUCAUCAGAGGUUAAAAACUGAAAAAGGAAUAUUGGAAGCUGUCCAUGUGCAUGAAGGUAGGAUUAGCCGUUGGAUAAUGAAGGAAUAGACAUGAUCAAAAGGGUAGGAAUGUGCCACGAUUUACCUCAGCAAAUUCGUGGUCAAGUCAGUAUAGAAUUCCAGGCCAUCGUAGGCAAAUAAGCAGCGGCAGCAGCAAGCAGCCCUCUUUUUUUUUUUUUUUUUUCUGUUUUUCUACAUUUACUUUUGUUUCGUUUUUUCGUCAAGUUGUUGGGGGAUUUUUGAAUUAUUCUAUGGCUCUUACUGUUCCUGAAAAGAUGGUGGAAAUGGGAAAUUAAUAGACAAGAAAGAAUUGAAAAUAGAGAGGUGGAAGUGUUAAAUAAAUGAGCCCAGGUAAAUAGUAAUUUGAAAGAUAAAAAGUUGUUUAUACUUACUAUUAUACGAUGUUACAUUAAAUGAGCAGUUGGAGAUUUGUUCUGGGGUGAUCAUGGGGGAGGAAUCCUGAUGAUCUAAACCAGAACCUGAAUAAAAAAUUGAUCUAAGCCAGCUACAGAAAACCCCAUUUGCUACAUUAAUCUAAUCAAUCAAUAUUGAAUUGGUCCCUUCUGACAGCUCCCCAUCAACGACUACUUUCUGCUAUAUAUAAUCUCCGUUUCAUGCAGGCUUUUAUCUCAGCCGACACCCACCAAAAACAAAACCACCUUCGCCCCCCUCCCUCCUUCCUUUUCUCUUCCGAACAGGGAAACUCCUGCACAUUGCCAGAGGGUGGUGUUCCUCAGUGAUCAUCGAUGACAGGUCCGCGGGCCGACCCGGUGAGGGGUCGGUUUUGGCCCCAAGUGUUAGUGGCCUUGGCCAUUGUUGUUGUUGCAAGCAAUGUAGGUUCAGUGUCUGCAGAUGCUUAUCCAUACUCAUCACCUCCUCCACCUUAUGAGUACAAGUCACCUCCACCGCCAUCUCCUUCUCCACCACCACCAUAUGAGUAUAAAUCUCCACCACCACCACCACCUUAUGAGUACAAGUCCCCACCUCCACCAUCUCCAUCACCACCUCCUCCAUACCACUACCACUCUCCACCACCACCAAAGCAUGAAGAAAAACCCCCGUACUACUACAAAUCUCCACCACCUCCAUCCCCAUCCCCACCUCCUCCAUACUAUUACGAGUCUCCACCACCACCAAAACAUGAAGAAAAACCACCAUACUACUACAAGUCUCCUCCACCUCCAUCUCCAUCACCACCUCCUCCAUACUACUACAAGUCUCCACCACCACCAAAACAUGAAGAAAAACCCCCAUACUACUACAAGUCUCCUCCACCUCCAGUAAAGCCUCCACCAAAACCAUAUUAUUAUAAAUCUCCUCCACCACCAUCUCCUUCACCACCUCCACCUUACUACUAUAAGUCUCCACCACCACCUUCACCAUCUCCUCGACCUCCUUACUACUACAAGUCUCCACCACCUCCUCCACAUUACGUCUCACCACCAUACUAUUAUAAAUCUCCACCACCACCAGCUAAAUCUCCUCCUUACUACUACAAUUCUCCCCCACCACCAGCUCCUUAUUACCCUGCCCCUCACCCUUAUCCCCACCACCAUCCACUCAUAGUCAAGGUGGUUGGUAAAGUUUACUGCUACAGAUGCUAUGACUGGGGAUAUCCAGUGAAGUCACACGACAAGAAACAUCUUAAAGGUAAAAUUCUUUCAACUUUCCCAAUUUUCUAGCACUAUCAAACCUUAGUUCAUUAUCAUUCACCACAAAAAAAAAAAGCAAAAACAUUUUAGAUCAUUCUUAUUUCACAUUUUCUUUUUCAUUAGCUGGACUUUCACUUUGUUAAUUUCAAAUUUUUGUAGCACUUUGUCAUCUGCUUUAGAAGUUAAAAUAAAGGUAGCAAGAUCUUUACAAUAUUUUAAUUUAGAAGACCUAAAUCUAACAAUUGAAAGGAAUCAGAAUAUAUUCUUGUGGUAACAAAUUUAAUUUAAAAAACUGAAUAGGCUAAGAAAGAAAACAAAGAUUUUCUUUGUUUCUUAAUUAUAUGUUAAUUUGUAUCUAAAUUAAAACAACCCUUUUCUAUGAUAUAUAUAAUAUUAUAGUUUUGUUGAUAAUAAUAUAGUAUAUUAUUUGGGUUAGCUCAAUUAAGGAAAGAGUAAAUGAAAUGAAUAUUUUAUAUUCAAACCAUAUACUUUUAUUAUUUAAAAAAUAGGCUUGGUUGAAUACAAGCUCUCUUUGCCCAUUUUGUUGUGCAGUAUAGAUUAAGUUGCAAUCUUGGAGGAAAAUAAAGUUGUCCUGAUUAAGGGUUGCACUAAUUACAAUUGGAAUUAACGUAUCAAAUGCCUUAUUGAAAGUUAAAAUAAAUAUAAUUAUAUUAAUUCAUGAAAAGACGAAAUUAGUUAUUAAAGUUAGUGAUGACUAAAGAUAAUUCAUUAUUUUGGUUGACUUUUUAACAACAAUUUGAUACUAAAAUGAUUUGGCUUUUAUUAUUGCACAUGGAACAGGUGCUGUUGUGGAAGUAACUUGCAAUGUCGGUGAAAAGAAGGUUAAGGCCUAUGGAAAAACCAAGAUCAAUGGAAAAUUCAGCAUCACGGUUGAAGGAUUUGACUAUGCCAAAUAUGGAGCCGAGGCAUGCAAGGCCAAGCUCCACGCUGCACCCACUGGUUCACCAUGCAACAUUCCCACCAGUCUACACGAGGGCAACACGGGUGCUGAGCUCAAGGUGAAGUCAAAGACCAAGUACGAGGUUGUGCUCAAGGCUAAGCCAUUUGCCUAUGCUCCAAAGACUCCUUACAAGGAGUGUGAAAAGCCGAAGCCAAAGCCGAAGCCUCCAACUCCUUACUACUAUACUUCUCCACCACCACCUACACCCGUUUAUAUCUAUAAAUCACCACCUCCUCCACCACCAACAUACGUCUACAAGUCACCACCACCUCCAUCCCACCCAUACAAGCCACCAACUGAGCCAUACAAACCACCACCAUACUACUACAAAUCUCCACCUCCACCAUCACCCUCCUACAUCUAUAAGUCACCACCCCCACCAACCCCCACUUACGUUUACAAAUCACCACCACCUCCAUCUCACCCAUACAAGCCACCAACUGAACCAUACAAACCACCACCAUACUACUACAAGUCCCCACCUCCACCAUCACCCACCUACGUCUACAAAUCACCACCACCUCCAUCUCACCCAUACAAGCCACCAACUGAGCCAUACAAACCACCACCAUACUACUACAAAUCUCCACCUCCACCAUCACCCACCUACGUCUACAAGUCACCACCCCCACCAACCCCUACUUACGUCUACAAAUCACCACCACCUCCAUCUCACCCAUACAAGCCACCAACUGAGCCACACAAACCACCACCAUACUACUACAAGUCACCACCUCCACCAUCGCCUACUUACAUCUACAAAUCACCACCACCUCCAUCUCACCCAUACAAGCCACCAACUGAGCCACACAAGCCACCACCAUACUACUACAAGUCACCACCUCCACCAUCGCCUACUUACAUCUACAAAUCACCACCACCUCCACCAUACUACUAUAAAUCCCCACCACCUCCAUCUCCAUCCCCACCUCCUCCAUACUAUUACGAGUCUCCACCACCACCAAAACACGAAGAAAAACCUCCAUACUACUACAAGUCUCCUCCACCUCCAUCUCCAUCCCCACCUCCUCCAUACUACUACAAGUCUCCACCACCUCCUCCACAUUACGUCUCACCACCAUACUAUUAUAAAUCUCCACCACCACCAUCGCCAUCUCCUCUUCCACCAUACUACUACAAAUCCCCGCCACCACCAGUCCAUUCUCCACCACCACCAUACUAUUACAAAUCUCCACCACCACCAUCGCCAUCUCCUCUUCCACCAUACUACUACAAAUCACCUCCACCUCCUUCACCCUCUCCCACACCCCCAUAUUAUUACAAGUCUCCACCACCACCAGUCCAUUCCCCUCCACCACCAUACUACUACAAAUCACCACCACCUCCAAUAAAGUCUCCAGCACCAGUCUACCACUACAACUCUCCUCCUCCACCAUCACCAUCUCCUCAUCCUCCAUAUUACUACAAAUCCCCACCACCUCCAUCUCCAUCACCAUUACCCCCAUAUUACUACAAAUCUCCUCCUCCACCGUCGCCAUCUCCUCUUCCACCCUAUUACUACAAAUCCCCACCACCACCAGUCCACUCUCCACCACCACCAUACUACUACAAGUCCCCACCACCACCAUCGCCAUCUCCUCUUCCACCAUACUACUACAAAUCCCCUCCACCUCCUUCACCCUCUCCUCCACCACCAUACUAUUACAAAUCACCACCACCUCCAGUAGAGGCUCCGGCACCAACCUAUCACUACAAAUCCCCACCACCACCAUACUACUACAACUCUCCCCCACCACCCCCAUAUUAUUACAAGUCCCCACCCCCACCUUCCCCAUCACCACCACCUCCCUACUACUACAAGUCUCCACCUCCACCUUCCCCGUCACCACCACAUCCUUACUAUUACAAAUCCCCACCUCCUCCCUCACCCUCACCCCUUCCCCCAUAUUACUACCACUCACCUCCCCCACCAGUGACAUCACCUCCACCUCCGGUCUACAUUUACGCUUCUCCUCCACCACCAACUCACUACUAGGCUCAGAAAGAUCAACCACAAAAUUACAUCGUUCAUGUAAGUAAUAGUUUAGUUAAACCUAUCAUUAUUAGUUAUCAUCCAACGAUUUAUUUCAUAUUCUAAUUACUUUUCUGCAUUUAAAUUUCAGGUUUUAGUUUCAGCAAAGGAAUAAAGCAAGGCACCGGGAAGGAGAGAUUUGGACAUCAAACAUUUCCACUUUCAAGUCCAUUCAAUAAAGGCCUGAACAUUUCAUUGGAGAGCUACAAUUUUGGUAAUCCAGGCCAGAUAACUUCCACUUCCCUGGUGGCCAUAUUACACAUGCUCUUAAUUUAUCAGAAGAGAGUGAGAGUGGUUUUCCCAGGGUGGCUGUUGUAGUUUGUUUGUUACUGUUCAAUUACCAAUUUAUUGGUUUCACCUAAUUUAUUUGUGUAUAGCAAAGUGGCCAUUGUAUGGUUAAGCGUUCUAUUUAUUGUGGGCAUGCAUUUGUUUCGUGGAUCUUGUUGUACUACGUGCACUGAGAUAGCAAUAAAGGAAGAUAUUCCUGUCACAAUGUUUCUCGCUCUAUUUUAAUUUCUCUUCCCUGAGAUCUCAAAUGCAAAUGUAAUCCCUUGCAGCAGCUUUUCUCUAAGCAUUUGGACCAAAUCUAGCUGUCUGUAGGUAGAGUGGGUCUUGUUUACAAGUUAUUUCUUUUUCAAGCAAAGGGAAUUCUUUAGUUGGGAAACGAGUAGUGCAAAAGAGGAGUAGCUUAAAACAAAAGCAUCCCUCUCUACUGACUUUCUCAUAUCACAAGGAUGCUUCGAUUUCCUCCAUUUGAGAAAAAUAAUUAAAUCGAGAAUUCCUCAGUUCAAUUCUUCCUUUCCAUCCCACGUAAAGGAAAGAAAAGAUUCCAAACAUAAAUUUAACCCUUUCAAGAUAAUAACCAUCAAGUUAAAUUUGGAGUGUUUUGAAAAAGAAAACGACUAUACAUGGAAGUAAAAUCACGAAAAAUUAUAUAAGAACGUACAUAUAACAUAUGGCACUUUCCUAGCUUCUUCCUACGACAGGACAUAUGCACUCAGCCCAGUCAUGGAGUCAUAAUGCCUUAUGCUGUCAGCCAGCAAAGCAUAUCUUUAUCCUAUCUAUCUCUCCAUCUCUGCACUCUAUAUUAAUUGUACUCCAACUCUAUUAAUUGUCUCUCAGUGGCUUGCAGCGUUUUUCCAUAUUGCUCUGCUUCUUCCAAUCUGUCUUCUCUCUGCAAAAGUGCCAGCUGACAAAAGAAAAAGGACAAAUAAUCUUCUGGUGGGGAUGAAGCUUUUGCAUGAUUUUCAUGUUCUAGAACUAGAACGAAACAUUCCCACUUUAAAUCAAUGGAAUGCACUCUUCUCAAUCCUGAUAAGCUCAACACAUCAGUAUCGUCUUUUUCAAUUUUUUUUUUCCCACUUUUCUCUCUCCCAAUGUGCUCCAUAGACUAUAGUUUAUACCUUUUAGAUGACUGUCAUUAAGCUCUUAUCUCUAUCAAUCAAUCUUUAGAAGAAAAAGGUAAUUACGGAUCAUUGAAAAUAAAUGCAUUAGGGUCCAUGGGAGCUGAGAGAUAUACUUUUCUUCAGUGGAAUAUUCCAUGCCGAAGCAUCUUAAUUUGGAGCUCACUAGCUAAUAAACUGUAGUGAUUGGGAGGGAGUAAUUAAGCAUCUUGAGUAAGGGUUACUCCAGUUUAAUUCUUAAUAAUACGGUUCAGGAAGAUCGUCGUUAUUCAGAAUUUAACUAUGAAUACCCCAAAUGGUAAGAAACAACCAAGAAACUUAUGGUUUCUACGGGCGGCUAACCUUGUUGGUCUGGACCACACAAACUGGGAUGAAAGGUAGGUCAAAGAUGCAUCGAUACCCUUUCGUCGUGUCACCAUGCACCGACACAUUGCUACUUCUUUACUUUGUUUUUUUUUUUAAUUUUUCUUUUUAUGCAGCCAAAAGAUUCGAUCUCAUGAUUACAGUAAAUUAAGAUUGGAGCACAAAGAGAUGAUACCCCCAUUCAUGCAGCAAUGAUAAUUACCAAAUGGCAAAAGAGAUAGCUAGCCUUCACGCAGUCCCAAACAAAAAGAAGUAGAGAAUCUCUUUGGUCUGAACGUGGAACAUGUCUUUUUUUAAUUUUUUUUGAAAAGCUUCAUUUCAUUGAUAUAGUGGAAGUAAUACAAGUUGAUGGAAACAAAAGGCCAUCUGAGCUGUAAACAAACGUUGAACAUGUCAUUGAUAUGAACACCUACGAUUCCUUUUUGAAGACAAUCAAAACGCCUCUCAAUAAACAAUUUACGCUCAUUAUUACGACACUAUCAUUUGCCCUAUUUAAUAUGACCAUAAUUUAUUAAUUUAAUUUGAAAGAAUUUUUUGUCAAUUAACGUUUCGACAGUAAUUUUCUAGAUUUUAUUGUCAGUAAUCUUUCUGUAUUAUAUACAAUUAAUAAUUAUAUACAACAAAUUUUCAAUGUAUUGGAUAAAAAUAUUAGUUUAUAUUAUAUGAGAUAACUUUAAAGAAUGAUUUUAGAGUGCUGGUUAACAAAGCCGCAUUUAAAAUUAAUUUUUAAAUAGAUUGGUAAAUCCAACCUUAGAUUAAUCCAAAAAAAUUAUUAUCAAAUAAUGUAAAACAAAUAGUUAGGAUACAACUGAUGAAACGAGUAACUUAACAGGCUGAGGAAUUAAUUAACAAUGCAUUCCUUUCAACUUCCUAAGGCUAGGGGGUGGAUAAGAUUUCCUUUCAUUAUAAUAAUUGCCUACUAGAAGCAUAUUUGAGGCCUCUUGUAGAGCUCUAAACCCCAUAAAUAAUGAACAUGAUGCAAGUUUUGGUGGAGGGGUUGGUGCAGUGCACCUUCUAAAAGAAGCUUCUUUUUCCUGUUUAUUGAUUUGUGUAUAUGGUUUCAGGAGGGGAAAAAGAAAAAAGAAAACCCAAAAGAAUUGGCCAAAGCCCAAGUGAAGCAGGUGAACCAGCUACUUGCAGCAGCUGGGAAGUCAUUGUCAUCAUUCAUCGGCUUACCUCUCAACCUCUCAUUGGAAGCUUACAAUGGACAAGUCAAAAGUUGAGAGUGUGAGAAAGAGAAAGAGAAAGAGAGAGAGAGAGUCCCCCCCAACCCCACAUGGAAAACGAUUCCUUCUCCCAUGGCAGCUGCUUUGAUAUAUUCCAUGGAGUGUCCAACUUGUUAUCGUAGAAAAAGGGUCCCAUCAUGGCAAAAUAAAGCCUCCUAAUGCUCACAAUGCUCCACCAGCAAUAAUGCAAAUUGUUUCUACUGAGUGAAGUACGAGCGAUGGCUCUCUUUCACUCUUUGUCCGUUAUCAGUUUAUUAUAUUACAACGUGAAAGGGGGAAUGGAUAAGUAGGGAUCCAAUGCACGACAAGUGGGAUCGCUUCAAUGGCAUGGAACUUUUCCGCAUCUCAUAUAAACAUAAAAUCAAGCCAAUAAUAUAGAUUUGUUUUUUGGGGUACAUAGUAAUCAAAUAAUCUAAUAACCUUUAACUUUAAGCUAAUAAUCAGAUAAAGUAGCCAUGUCUUUUGUUAGGCAAUCAUGAAAGUGGAUAUGCUAUUUUCUUGUCACGUAAUAAUCAUGGAAAAAACAUUGAUGUUACAUUUUGACGAUUUUGCCUUGCAUGUAGUGGCGCUUAGGCUUAUGCAAAACUCAUUUCUACAGAAAGAUUCUCAGCUGUGUCGGUGGGACUUUGGGUCUAUAUAUGUAUGCUCAAAUCAAUACAUGUGUUUCUUUUUGGUAAUAUUCGAUAAAAUUUAAAGUGAGAAGCAAGGGGGUUUGAAAUAUUUAGACUUUAAUUUUUUUAAAAAAAAGAAUAAUAAUUGUUAGUCAUUUUUUAAUUUUAAAAUAAAAUGGAUAUAUGAUUUUUCGGAUAUUAAAUUUAUCAUAAAUUUGAUUUUAAAAAAAUAAGUAUGUUAUAUUAUAUAUAUUUCACUUUUAUACACCUUUAUGUUAUAUAUUUUAAUCUAUCUAAGAUUUCUAUAUUUACGCAUAACAUAAUUUUGACGAAUGGAAUUUGCAUCUACAUGUAACUAUAAAAUUUGGUUGAGAAAAUAUUAUUAAAUAAUAUAAAAUUAUAAUUCAAAAAUUGUUAUUGUGAUUACUUUCGAUUUUACAUUUUUGUCGCAAUCAUGGUGCCGAAUUGGUCUAAACGAGUUAGUUGGAAUUCCCAAUGACAUUCUUGGACGUAGGAUUGGCUGGGUCCGAGUCCCAUUUUGCUUUGGGUUUGCCAGAAUUUGGGCUUCCCUGGCCCAAAUUAACUUUUGGGUUGUAGAAACCCCUUCCAUUUCCAUCGUAGAGCCUAAAAGAGAUUGGGCUAUAUCUCUCAAACUAUAGGUGAAAGAUAGCCCAUAACAUUUGGGCUUCUAUGAAGAAAAAAAGAAAGGGAAAGAAAAUUUCAAUAGGAGAUGCACAAUUUGCUUCUUCUCCAAUCUCUGCGAGAAAAACUACUUGUAAAACAAUAUUUCUUCUUUCGCUUCCUUUUCUCGAACUUUCUCUUCUGCCAGUUUUUAAAUUCGUUUCAAUCAAAAUCUAAAUCAAAAUCGUAUACUUCCGGGCCUUUUUUGGCUAAAAGAAGCUCUUUUUUCAUCUAAAUAAUUGGUUAAAUAGAAUUCUGAUCGGCCAUGGUACGUUCGCUCUUUACCCUUUUGUUUAAUUUUCUUAUUCAAAUUUUAUUUUACUAUCAGUUGCAUGAAAAAUUUCUUGUUAAUUAAGCUGAAUUAUUGUUAAAUUCAAAUAUAUGUGGUUUUUCAAUGCUAAUUUGGAUGUUUUAGCUUGUUCGUAAAAACUUUUAGGUAAUUCUGUUUCUUCGGGUCGUUAUUAAUUUAUUUGUUAUUGGCAAUGAUAUAGGAGUAUUGGUAACUCUUUCUGCCACAUACCAAGAUAUGGAUGUCUUGGACAUAAUUCAAGUUUCAAGUAAAAAUGAUCUGCUUCAACUUACUUACUUUUAGAAUCAAUAUGCAUUUGGGUUUUUGGUUUUGAAAGCAACCAAUGUCAUUUGAAAGGAUGGGUCUACUAGAGCUGGACUCUUUCCUCUGGAUCCUUUCAUGUAUCAAGUUUAGGUUGCAUCUUGCUUCAAUGCCUCUAUCUAGUACUCUUUUUCCUUACUUUGAUGUUUUAGGUUAUAAACAGUUCAUCAUAGGAUCCCGUAGCUUUUAUCUUCUUGAACGUUGGCUUCUUUAGCAUAUUUUUGGUUGUGAGAGAUUGCAGAGGAAAUGAAUUUAAAUUACUACAUAGUAUUAAACUUUAUGUUUCUUAUUGAUUUUAUUUCUAAGAAUUUAUUUCAAUCUCAAAUGGGUCAAGUUACAUUAUGGUUUGCUCAGUUGGGGUGCUUAGUUUUCCUAAACAACCAAAUUGAGGAUUUAAAUGAGUACCUUUUAGAAUAAUUAUGUUAGUAUCAUUAGUGUACAGAGAUAAAAAGAGACCAGUCAACACAAGUUCCUUGCUAGUUAUAGCUGUAACAUUCUGAAAUUCAAAGUGAUAAGAAUGUGAGAGAAUGUUUUGUAAUAAAAUGUCAAGAUAUUUAUUCCAAGCUAUGCUGUCUAAGUUGAGGAGAUGUAAGCAAUAUUCCUUCCAAUUCUUUGGCCUUAUUCGAUGAAUAUGUGGAUUGCUGCUAAGAAUUGGCCUGUUUAAACUUGAAAGUGCUGGAAGGAUAAGAUAGAGGUGAAAAGAUCAAAAGACCUUACAUUGAACCAUGAACUGCAACUUGUAGAUUAAAGAAUCUAUUCUGGAUUAAUUUAAACUGUUUACAAGGUUUAUGUAGUUUGCUGUUAGCUUUGUUGUGCUGUCUUGUGGUUCUUUGGUUUUGGUUCACUUUAGUGUUGUGCUAGUAUCUAGAUUUUAAGAAUUCUCAGAUUUAAAAUACUAUUUCUUGCUUGAUAAGACCAUAGAUCAAAGAGAGAGAAGGUUGUAAUGGUGUAUGUUGUCACACUUGCAUUUUGUUUGAGACUUUUUUACAUUGAUGGUAUUAUCAUUGUCAUAUCAAUAUAUCCUGUUAUGCAGGCUGCAAAGAUUCUUGCCAACUUAAUUGUAAUGGGCUCCGGUAUAUUGGCUCGUGCUGUUGUUCAGGCAUAUCGUCAAGCACUUGCAAGUUAGUUCAAUACUGCACUACUGUUAUUUCAUGUUUUUACUUUGCUUGAAAAGUAGGAGCUUGCUUUUAUUGAUUGUAAUGAAGAUAUGGUCUUAAAAAUAGUACAAUAGUGCGCUAUAAUCAUUGUAGCAGACUCCACUUAUUGGUAACUAGCUUUGUUUGUUGUUCUGUAUUUUGAAAUGCGCAUUGACUUUCUUCAAUCAUAAUGCCCCUUCUAUUUGAAAUUACACAGUUAUGGCUCUUGCAAUAAUAGAGUUUCAAGGUCAGGAUAGUGAAACGAGACAUGGAGCAAUUAGUACAAUGUGCACCAAGAAAGAGCAGAAAGAUAAAAAAGCUGAUCCUGGGGUCUAUGAUUAUUUACAUUCAACCUAAAUAUAUUUUGCAUUCAGCUCCUUUUGCUGACCAGAAAUAGGCUAAGAAAGUUUGAAUCUCAAAGUUAUGAAGGCUAAAAGCAUUUCAGGGUUAUUACAAUUUGAAAGUUGGACGAAUAAAUGUUUCUGAAGUUCUUUUUCUUAUCAAUUUAUUCUUUUGUUUAACUCUGUGCAGAAGUUCUUUUAAAAUUUUGGUUUUAUGACUUUAUGUUUAUGCAGUCAUGAUAAUGAGAGCUAAUAAUUAACUAAAUUGGUACUACUUGUUUUCUACAUUUUAUAUGAAUUUAUAUUAUUCACCAAUUUUUCAUGCCACCAUGUGCCACUGCAUUUAUGAAUUCAUAUUGUCUCCCUCUUCUCUCUGACAUAUACCUGUAUACAUCUGGUUUAGUAGUGAGCUAAAUAUUCUAGAUGUUGAUUUACUCAUGGUGAGAUCUUGUUGAAAGAAGUCAAAUUGGUUGAGUUCCAGAAUCAGCAUUCUAUUGUUAAUAAAAAAAUGGCAGUGUUGUGCCAAUACUUAAAUUAUCAGAAAUCUGCAACUGUAUCAGUUGAUCUCUGCUACUCUUGUGAUUGGUUCUUUUUUAUUUUUUAUUGCGACACUGUAACUAGCAUUUUAGGGAGAAAUAACAACAGCAAGAUGAUUAUAUUUAUCUAGUGGCAGGUUUUGUUUGCUUUAUAUGUAUCAAUGUUCUGAACAAUAAGUUUAUUGCAGAUGCUUCAAAAUCUGGUGUUGCCCAGGAGACACUACAAAAUGCUGCCCGCCGAGCUAGCAAAGUCAUGACCGAGCAAGAGGCUAGGCAGAUUCUUGGUGUAAGUGAGGAGACUGCUUGGGAGGAGAUAAUGAAGGCUAGUAUUUUUUGUGGAUCUUUUUUUUUUUUACAUUUUUCUCUGUUUCUGUUACUAUCACCUUGACAAGUUUUAAAACUUCUCCAUUACUUUAUUUCAGAAAUAUGACGUUUUAUUUGAGAGGAAUGCCAAGAACGGGAGCUUCUACCUUCAGUCGAAGGUUCAUAAGGCUAAGGAGUGCUUAGAGGCAGCCCAUCAAGGCAAAGGGGAGGGCACUCCUAGUUGAGAAUUUGUCGAGGUUUGCUCAUUGCACAUAGAGACACCUGUUUGUAUACUAAUUCUAGUCUCUGAAGAAUGGUCUAAAAGAUUUAAAUUGUAUGCAGCAGCUGUUCUACAUUUCGCUGCUCCUGGGUUCGAACGUUUAUGGAAAUUUUGUAUCAUCAAUGCUAAAGUAGUUGAGUGGUUGCGAACAACUAAAGAUUCUUAAAUCAUCUAUGCCGGCAAUGUAUCUUGAUCUAAGUGUUUGCAGUUGAUGUGCUGCAUGUUAGUUUAAUACACAGCGCGGAUUAGUUGUAAUACUAAUAAAGAAUGUGAGAAAUUACUUGUUAGUAUAUAAUAAGUUUAGUUUGAUUUAAGUAUUCAUCCACCCAACUUUUUUCUUCCAUAAUUUACGAGUAUCCUUCUUGUGAUAAUGAAACCAUCAUGAUUAUUUGACAUGCAAUCAUCAUCCCAUUGCAUUAAGCUGUCAAAAUAGUCCAAGAUUCCUACCCAAAAGCAACUUUGUCAGGGCUAAAUGGAAAACAAAAUUAAAACAGAUACCGAAAGAUGUAGCCUGAAGUCAAACUGGCUACAAUUGUUAACUGUUCAAGGGCCGUGGUUAGCAUAUUAAUCCUAGCUAGGUUUAGAAUUAUCCUGCUUGUUUCUUUUUGGAAAUUAAGAAAAGUUUUCUUUUAAGGGCAAAAGGAAAGAGAAAGACUUUAUGCCGCUUUGCCCUUUUCAUUAUUAUGGAACCCCCUUUUUGUAGCCAAUAUUGAGACAAUGAAAUGCAAACUCGACGGUGGUUACUCCCUCACUUUUGUCAUCUUUCUAUGCUUUGGUAGCGUCUCUUUCAUUCUUUGAUCAAUCCCUGCAGCAGAAACAAAAUAUUCCAUGUCAUAUAUUUUUCCUGUUUUCUUUUGGACAGAAGAAUCUGAAAAGAAGGGCAAAAUGACCAGUCUAGGUUUGCAUUCACUUCAAAAACUUCACCGGUGUGUGUACAGAUUAGGGCCACCACCCAGAAGUAGAGUAGUAGAAAGGAGCUUCCAAAUUUCCCAUUUGCAUGUUUCCUCUAAAGAGAGAAACGUUAAAGAUUAUGCAAUGCCUACAUUCUUAUAGCAAAAUAUUUUUAAAAAAAAUUUAUCAAAUUAUUUUUUAUUACAUUUAAUCAAAUUUUGAUAUUUUUAUACUAAAUCAAAUAAAAUAUUUUGAAUAAUGAUUAAUUAAUUAUUAUUUAAUUAUUUUAUAUAAAUAAUAUUGAUGUGAUAUAUUAACAUAUCAUAAUAAAUGAUAAUGUGACAUAACAUUAAUAUUUUUACUCUUCACAUGAGUGACAUGUUAGUAUUAUAUGAUUAUAAUAAAUGAUGAUGUGAUAUAACGAUAUGAUAUUUUUACUCUUUAUAUGAGUGUCAUGUUAGUAUCAUGUCAUCAUAAUAAAUAACAAUAUGGUAUUUUUACUCUUCAUAUGAGUGUCAUGUUAGUAUCAUGUGAUCAUAAUAAAUGAUGAUGUGACAUAAUGAUAUGAUAUUUUUACUCUUCAUAUUAGUGCUGUGUUAGUAUUAUGUGAUCUAAAAUGACAAAAUGAUAUUUUGACUAAUGAUGAUUAGUUAACUUUUAGUUAUAAAAAUUUAUUUGACUCAAAAUUAAAAAAAAAUAUUGAGAUUUGAUUUAACAUAAUAAAAGAAUAAAAAUUUAUUUAAAAUUUUUUAAAUAAUUGGAAAAUUUUCAAAUAUUAUGAUAUCAAAAUUGUUUGCCCGUGAAUAAAAUAAUAUUAAAUUUUAAAUUAUUUUCGCAUUAAUUUAAUUUUUUUUGACCCUUUCUAAAAUAAAGUGAAUUAUUUAAUUUUUUUGAUUAUAAGGUAAAAUAACAUUACUCUUUUCUUAAAUAUUCAAGAGACAAAAGAUAUUUGGAGAUUACAAAUUUCUUUCUCCUUAAUGUUCCAAAGUUAUACUUUAUAAAUAGUAUUUUAAUAAAUAUUUUCAAAAGAUUUGACAGAUACGUAUAUGGACUUAUAAUCUGUUCUCUUUUCAUUUUUUCCUUUAAUAAGAGGAUGCUAGGAAAUGGACCAGUAAGCGAACCUUCGACCGACCAACUUAUUGUCUUCCUGUCUAUUCCUUUUAAUCUUUUACUCCCUCACAAAUUCUAUAUUGCAAAGCACAACUAGUCAACUACUAAUCAAAGGUCAACAUUAGCUCUCCAUUCACAAAAAUACAAAACAAAACUCAAAAUAUAUACUUGCCAUUCAAUCUAAAUGGUUUCAUAUUUAUGGUUAGAUUUCAAGUACCUGAUUACGAUAUAAUGUCCGAAUUAAUGCUCUGAAUUUUCUUUACAACCUAUGGUGGUGGUAGGCGGAGGCAUAUUAUUAUCAAGGAAAGAAGUGAGGUCGCAUUAUAAGGGGAUAAAUAGGCCUCACUUUAAUUCAAGUAAUCUAUGCCUUUUUUUAAUAAUAGAAAGGCACUCAACGGAACUUGUAGCCAAGGCUAGGGUUCACUAAUUAUGCACCUGUCGUUUAUUAAUGCCUCCCCUCUUUUAAUUAGAAAAAUUGAUACAUGUCUUUAUUGUCAAGGACCAUACAAAUUUAUAAACCCACGAGUAUUUCCCUUCUCCAAGGAUUCGAAAGCAUAAGAAUAUCUUAAAUUUUAUCUUUUUAAUUUAAAGAUAAAUAAUAAUCCUCUGAUCAAGUAUUCAUAUAUAUAUAUAUAAACUUUUGCACAUUAAUUUAAAAGAUUAAUAUUUAUUAUCAUAUCUGUCACAUGAAUAUUUAUUUUUUUCUUUAUUUACAAAAUUCUGAAUGAAGUAAAUUAUAUUCUGAUAAAAAUGAUUCCAUACAGAUGUGACAUAUAAAUUUUAUUAUUAUUUAUUUAUUUUUAAUUAAUAAUUUAAAAGAAGUAAGGUGGAUUAAUGAUAAUGACGGUUGGGAAAAGGAGAUUAAAGUGACAAAAAAGCACUCCAAAGCAACUUCCCACUAUUAUUACAACUCAAAUGUGGAAGAAAAGCUUUGCAUUAUGAGAUCCCAAAAUAAAUAAUAUAUAAAUAAAAAAGUUUAAUAAGUUAAAAUAUAUAUAAAAAGGAAAAACAAUCCCUUAAUUUUCUGCGUGUAAGUUGCGCUGUCUUUUUUAUUCCAAUCUUUAAUUCUCUAAACCCCCGAAAAUAAAGAGAGAGAGAAAAAAAAAAAAAAACACAGCAACACAAACCAAACCAAAACAAAGGUACUUUCUCUCUCUCUCUCUCUCUCUUGCUGGUUUGGUAGCGUAAUAUUUCUUCAAGCACCAAAUUUUGCAUCGAUUUCUUGGGAGAGAGCUCAUAGCGCUAUUCCUCUCAUUUUCUUUGUUUUUUCCCUCUCUUCAGUUUUUUCUCUCUAACAGCGACGAUCGAUUUCAGAAAUUGAAAAUCUUUGCCUUUCAGAUCUGCGCUUUGAAUUUUGAUUCGAUCAGGUUCAGGUUCCAAUCUUUGUUUGGUUUCAUCCUCCAUCUUUUUCUCUCUAUCAAUCAGAUCUGAUACGUUUUGUUAUUUUUUUUAAUUGGGAAUUUCGUUGGAUUUCUCAUUUGUAGAUCUAAUUUUCAUUUCUCAAAAUUUAGCUCCAUUUGACCUCGUUUUGAUGAUUUUCCCUGUUUCUUUUAAUACGUAAUUGUUGUAAAAAAAAUUACUCUUUUUGAUUGAAUGGUUAGAGAUUUGUUUCUUAUUCUCAUAAAUGACAUGUAUAUGUGUUUGUCGAUGCUUUUCUUGCCAAGACUCAAUCGUACGAUUUGAAGAUGUAGGGAUCUAUCGAAAUACUUCUCGAAAGUUAUAGGAUUUUGAUCCCAAUUAGCUUCUUUUAAUGGUUAAAUUAAAUUUCUUCUCCAGUUUAUGCAUUAAAUAUUUAAAUCUGAAUUUCGUGUAACUGUAGUUAUAUGCAAAUUUAAUUUCAUUAUAUUGCCUGCAAAUGACCAUUAUUUUUUCUUUUGAAUUCUUUGACUUUUCUUGGUAACAUUCAAGCUUUAUCUGUUUCAGAUGAAUAUGUUUGAUUGCAUUUUAUAUAUUCCAUUGUGCUGUCUUAAACCGGUUCAAGAUCUAACCUUUCCUUAUUUUUCUUUGAUGUGACAGGGCUGCUUCAUUCUGAACGCAAGCAACCAUGAAGAAGGCCAUCGGUCAAACUGUUAGAGACCUGUAAGUGUAUUACUAGAUACUAAUUCCCCUAUACCCUCAUUGAAUUUGUUUUGUAUAUUUAAUACUAUAAAACAAUCUCUUGGUAGCAAACUUAUUCUAAAAAGACGAUGAUUGAAAUUUUGAUUGUUUUUUGUACAAUUUGUUUUAUUCCUGCAUCUUGGUAUUUGCUAUUACCAGCAGCUAAAUGAUUUUUUCUUCUUUGCUCUUGCAGCAAGAGAGAGGUGAAUAAGAAGGUGCUUAAAGUUCCUGGCAUAGAACAGAAGGUAAGAAUAUAUUUAGAAAGUUCACUGCUCAUUUGAGUGCAUAAAUUGUUUUGUAAGUGGUAGAUCUAUUGUCAGUAGUGGCUAGUAGAAUCAUGUUUGUUGUGGCUGACGGGAUCUAAUAAACUGUCUAAAACAUCGUUCUGAUUGAGAUGAUAUGUGAGAUCUUAAACUACCAGUGAUUCUGACUUCUAUCCACAUUUUAGUUGCAAAAAUUGAGGGCCUUUUAAUAUUAUUUAUUAAAGUGCUAUUGUGAUUCUAUACUGUUGCAUAUCCCAGUAAUGGAAUAGAAUUAGAGAGGCCAACAGAGGAAGAACAAGCAGUGCUUAGGGAGGCUGAAUUUUGUGGAAGGUGAAGAAAUGGUAUGAUAAAUGGAGUCCAGCAUGUGCACAUAUGCAAAUGGAGAAUUUUUUGGGUGAGUUGCGAAUGGAUAAUGCUGUUUGUCUGCAUUAUGGAGAGCAGAGAGGUGACGAUAAGGGGAAAAAAAUGCUCUUGUUUUCGAAAAACUGUAGAGGAAAAGUGCGAGAACUAAAUUGAAGUUAAUGAUGUCUUUGAAUUAGUAGCUUGAUGGGAUAUUUGUAUUAUAUGAUGGGUGGUUUCCUACUGGUAAGAGGGCUACAUAGUAAAUGUGUCAACCAUGCACGAUAAUGUAUGGAGUUGGACUAAUAAAGUUUCGACAAUUGGCUAAUUUGGUUUGGAAGAAGAGUUUGCUAAUCUCAACUUUUGAGCAUCCUGUGGUGUGUCCUGUCUGUUACAGCCAGUUUGAGCCUUUGAGUGAAAGUUUGGAAGCUCUUACGCACAGGGUACUAAAAGGACUGAUUCUUACAUUUGCUGAAGGGUCCCAACUUUUUCCGUGUAAAUAUCUUCUCAAGUUGGAUUAAGUGCCAUUGAUGCUGAUUGAGCUGAAUCUUGAUUGCAUAAAGUGGUUUCAAAAUUUUUUCUUUUUCAUUUUCUUACUUUGACAGGGGAGGGGAUUGCCGUUAUUGAAUUCUUGAACACCAACUAGCGCUAUUCAACAACUGCACAGUAACAAUACUACUUGUAAUACUAUUAUAAAAUUUAUUUAUCUGCAUGAAACAAUAUUCUUUUCUGUUCCUUUUGUCUUUCAGGUUCUUGAUGCUACUAGCAAUGAGCCCUGGGGUCCUCAUGGAUCGCUUCUUGCAGAUAUUGCAAUGGCUACACGAAACUAGUAAGCUUGAGAGAAAUUGUGCAUUAUUUUUAUCAUUUAUUUGUUACAGGAGAAGUCAUUUAUAAAAUAUCCAUGCAGUCAUGAAUAUCAGAUGAUCAUGGCAGUAAUCUGGAAACGUAUAAAUGACACUGGAAAGAAUUGGCGACAUGUCUACAAGGUCAGCAUUAUGUUGAGGGAUUAAUUGCAUUACAUGUGUUCUCAAUCUGUUCUCUCUUUUCCUUUACAAAUUUCGUGGAACUGUUCAAAUUUAUCCUUUGUCUAAAUCUCCAUCUUAACAUUUCAAUUGUCCUUUUGUUGUCACGUAGUACAUCUUUUUGGUACUAUAUUUUACUUUUUCUGCAGUUUCUCUGCAUAUAUUUACUUUCCUGCAUUUUACCCCUACAUUAAUUUAUACCAAUGAACUAAGGUAUAUGUCUUAUUGAGCUCCAGGCUCUGACUGUUUUGGAGUAUCUUGUUGCCCAUGGAUCGGAGCGUGUCAUAGAUGACAUAAGAGAACAUGCUUAUCAAAUAUCGGUAAUUGCUGUUUUUUGAUGCUAUUUGACAACUUUGCAUGUGGUGUUGAUGAUACAAUUUGCAGCUUACUGUAUUUAAAUACCGUGGUCUAAUAAAAUAUUUCUUCUCAUGUUGCAGACUUUGUCUGAUUUUCAAUAUAUUGACUCCAGUGGAAGGGACCAGGGUAACAAUGUCCGAAAGAAAUCUCAGAGCCUAGUGGUCUUAGUAAAUGAUAAAGAAAGAAUAAUCGAAGUAAGACAAAAGGCUGCAGCUAACAGGGACAAGUGAGUAAGCAGAAAUGCCUUCAUGUUGUAAUCUCCUUGCUGUGUUCAACUGUCUUUUCUAAUAAGUGUUUCAUAUCACCAGCAUUGGCAAAAUUUAUACUUAAUUUUGAUUCUAUGCAGUUUUCAACAUCACAUGUAGAUAAGCGUGCGUACAUUCAACUUGACAUGCAUGAGUGUUUCAGCUUGUCAAUUACAUUCGUGCAAGAGCAUGUACAUAUACACAUGCACUUUCUCUCACACUUGGUCAGAGAUAUACAUUUUGUGUUAUUGAAUGGGAUAGCUUGUUCCAUUGUUUGGGUAGAAAAGUCCAAGUUGUUAUUUGGUAUAUGUUGCUCGCAUAGCUGUUGAGAGACAUCCAUGUCUAGGGCAUUUCAGUUUUGGUUGGAGGCAUCUUUAAUAUAAAAAGUCUUGACUUAAGAUUGAUUAGAACUGUUUUUUCCUCCUAAGGUGCUGGUGUAUUUACACUGUUCUUGCCAUUAAGAGGAUUCUCUUGGGAUUUUUCUUGUUCAUCCUUUCACCAGUGGACAUCAAUUUUUUACUCUUUUAUGCCAAAUCUAGUGCCUUAUGGCAGGUUUUUGUCUAUUAGGCAUUUUUCUGAUAUGUAUCAUUGUGGACUAUAUCUGUCUUCCAUUUAUAAUUUUGAAUCUAUUUUCUGCAGCUGUGGUCCUAUAUCCCUAUUCUAAUAGAUAAUAUAGCUGAAAUACGGUGUUAAAAUUAUCUAUAAAUAAGUAUAUAUUAUAUAAUAUAUAAUAUUCUACCUUUUUCUAUUUGAGUUCCUUUUCUGUUAAGUACUGAUGGCAUUUCGUGCUCAUGAUCAUUUGACUGCACUUUUCUUGUCCCAUAGGUAAUGUGUUCAUAUAUUUUGCCUCUGAAAUUCCUUUUGGAUAUGAGAAUAUAAUUGAAUGGAAAUGUAGAAUUCUUCCACAAUGUCUAACUGUUUGUUCUACAGGUUUCGAAACACAUCAACGGGUGGAAUGUAUAGGCCAGGUUCAGGGGGAUACGGUGACAGAUAUGAUUAUGAUCGUUAUGGAAGCAGGGAAGAUGAUCAAAAUGGUUAUGGAAGAGACAGGGAAUAUGGCUAUAGAGAUGAUGAUCGGUAUGGCAGAUAUGGGGAUUCAAACAGUCGUGAUGGGGACCGUUAUGGCCGGGAUUAUGAAGACCGCUAUAGCAGAGAUGGUUAUAGGGAUGAUGACUACAGAGGUAGAAGUAGAAGCGUUGAUGAUUAUCAGUAUGGCACAAGAAGCAGGAGCUCUGAUAGAGACCGUGCUGUUGAUGACGAUGGUGCAUCAUCUCGGUAUGUUUACUUUUGAGCCCUUUAUUACUAUGUUCUUUUCGAGCAACAUAUUAAUAUUGUUCAUCCAUUUUUUUAACCUUAUCUCCUUGAUUUUAUGUUGAAGUUACUUUUUUUUUUGUUGGAUAUUAUGAAACAUCACCUAAUGGAAGGUGUGAAUAUUUAUAGGUACUUUUCCACUAGAUUGGAAACUUAAAUGUUGCAUUUACAUCUAACUUUCCAUGGAACUUUUUUACCACCAUGAGCUUUAGGGUGUUAGUUUGCUGAGUGAAAUGUCCAGAUUUUGUAUUUGUUUUGCUACUACCUUCAUGGGAUGCUUGACAUUGAGAAUGUAAUUAGCAUGACCAUCUUCUCUGCAGGGGCAGCGGAGCUAGAGGUGAUGAACAUUCUCAGGAUGGAAGGUAACCCUGAGUGGUUGCGUUCUCAACUUGUGUUAGUUGGUCAGUUGUUAUUAGACAAGAAUUAUUUCUUUCUUGUUACUAAUAAUUUUCUGAAAAUCAUAUUUGUGCAGGCGGCUUGAGCGGAGGUUUUCUGAACAAAAUAUUGGUGCUCCUCCUAAUUAUGAAGAAGCAGUUAGUGAAUCUCGGAGUCCUGUUCAUAGUGAAAGGUAUUUUUUUAUUCCUUAAAUUUUCAGUGGCAUGUUGCUUUAAGUUGUGUUUUUCUAGUUGGUGCAUACUGAAAAGAUCUUUGAUGAUAGGGAUGGAGAAACUUCAGUAGCAGCUGCUCCUAGAGCUUCAUCUCCUCCUGCUAGCAACAAUCCUAACCAAGCAGCCUCUGAUUUUGGUAAUUCAAUGUCUCCUGCAAAUCAAGUGGUGGAGGCUUUUGAUGAAUUUGAUCCACGUGGGUCAGUGUCAGGUACAAAUUUCCUUUAUAAAUUCCAUGCUUUGGAUGCUUUUAAUGGCUUUGUCUGGGUGAUUAUAGUUGUCUUUUAUAAGGAAUAUGUUGCCCUUAUUGCUUGUCCAGUAUGAAAAUUAGUUGAUGUGGUGGUCUCUUUUGACUUGAACAAUCACCCUGCAAAAUGUUAAUUUUUCAGUCAUCCAAGUAUGGUGUUUGAUAUGCUCUGUUACUUCACAUUCCAUUUCAUUUAUUUCGUUUCACAUGGUAGGUUUUAGUGUAUUCUUUUUAUCUGUAAAAUUUAUCACAUGUUUCUUGUGGAAUAUAUUUUAUCACUUAUAUAUUGAUAGUCAUUUCCGGGAGCCAAACUUUGCAGUUGGUUAUAUACUAGCAAUGACUUUAAAUUAUUGUGCCUGACAUGAUUGGUCAGGCUGCCUUAAAACGGAAAAGUCUGUUUCAGCAACAUUUUUUAAUUUUUCUUUUUUGCUCGCUUUCAAUGAUUACUGGUAUCAUUUAUAUAAGUGAUUGGAGUUUCAUGUGAUUGUGUGGAAUAAAACUCCUAGUUUUGAGGAGCUUAGAUUGGAUUCUUAUUGAUGCUAUUAUUGUUUAUCCAUUAUGACUGGAACUCAUUUUUCAUCUUUUGCUGCAUCUAUUAAAGCUGCCCCUACUACUGCUCCUGCUGCUACAGCCACUCCUGCUACUGCUGUUCCCACUGCCACGAUGAGUGCUGAAAUAGACUUACUCGGCGUGCUUUCAGAUUCAUUGGCCAUUGUGCCAACUACACCUGCCACCCCUUCUGGUGAGGCUGAUGCCCUUGAAAACUCUGGUGCUAUACCCAACUUUGCUGCUAAUCAAUCGGCAUCUAACUUUGAAAAUCAGGUAGACAUUAUUUGUUUAAUUGAGGGACUUUUUAUAGUCCAUACUCCUUGGUUCAUGUACAUGGAUUUCAUUGCACCUGUUUACAAUAUGCCUAUUGAUGGCACCAUCAAUGUGGAUACACUGUUCUAAUGUCUCCUUAUGUGUUUUCAUUUGUUUUAAGUAUAUUUAAAAAUUUAUGUAAAACAGCAUGGAUAGUUAAGAAUGAAGCAAUUUUGUGGAACCACUGAGUUUACUGUGUACUUAAUGUAGAAACAGUAACAUGAAAUGUUUUAGGGUGAAUUUCAAAAAAUAUGUAGGUGAAAUUUUUUUUAUUGUUGUAUUAUUGAAUGUUCCUUGGUGUUAAUUUUUUUUACUAACUGAUUAUGGAUAUAAUCAUCUGUCUUCUUUCGCUUUAUUUCCUCCUCCCACCCCACCCCCCCCCCCCCCCCAUCCUCUCUCUCUCUCUCUCUCUCUCUCUCUCUUACCCCUCUGAACUUUGUCUUUAAUUAAUUUGUUGCCAUAAUUCUAUUGCUAUGGGAUAAGUUAGUUUUGUCCUUGAUACAGGGCUUUGAUGAUCCAUUUGGUGAUGGUCCUUUUAAAGCUUUCCCUUCAACUGAUGCUACCCCAGCUCUGCAACAAACUUCAACUGCCAUGCCUACCUUCCAGCCUACCAUGAACCAAAACGCAGAAAUUCCUCAGCCACCUUCUGUGAAUCCUGAGACAGUUGCAGACUUCAACUUUGGGGAUUCAUUUUCUGCCAAUGCUUACUCUCCACCCACUGUCUCCAGUGCUCAAUCUCCAGCAAACUCCCAGUUUUUGCCUCAAGAACUGUCAACUCCAAAUCAGGAAAGUGAUAUAUUGGCAGAUAUCCUUCCACCGUCUGAACAUGCAGAUGGUGUAGCGGCACAGGCAGCCUUUUCAGCACCAACUAGCCACUCAGUUCCACCAGUUGCUACAUAUGGCCAAUCAACACAGCCAGGUGCUAAUAUCUAUGGUCAGCAGGCACAAUCAGGUGCUAAUAUCUACAGCCAAUCCGGACAGCCAAGUGCUAAUCCUUAUGUUCAACCCGGACAGCCAAGUGCUAAUCCUUAUGGCCAACAGGCACAGCCAAGCGCUAAUCCAUAUGGCCAAUCUGUGCAGCCAAGCGUUAAUCCAUAUGGCCAAUCUGCACAGCCAAGCGCUAAUCCAUAUGGCCAACCUUCACAACCAAGUGCUAAUCCUUAUGGCCAACCCACACAACCAAGUUCAAAUAAUACAUAUGGUAAUUUUAACCAACAGACAGUGUCUAUGCCCCCUCAAAGUGCAGGAUCUGCUGCACUGAGCAGGAAUGGGAGCUUAAUCUCUCAGACAGGUUCUAACAUUCCUGUCAGUUCACACAUGGCUGCCCAACCUCAAAACCCUGCUGGACCGGCUGCACAGUUUAACACUGGAAAUUUCCUUUCACAGCAGGGUUCAGUCGUGCCAGUUACUUCACAGAUUACUCAACAAGCCACAAAUGCACCAGUUGCACAAAGUAACAAUGAUGUCCUAGGUGGCUUAUUCUCACAACCAGGAAUAAACACUUCAAUGGUACCACAGACUGGUAGUCCCUCUUCAACAGGAGCACUUUCUAUAGUUCCACAACCAUCAAAGGACAAAUUUGAGCCUAAGUCAGCGGUUUGGGCUGAUACAUUGAGUAGAGGACUGGUCAAUUUGAAUAUAUCUGGACGUAAGUACUCACUUUUCCCCUAGUAAAAAAGGUCAUGAAGUCUGUACCUUUUCCACAAGAAUUAACUUUAUUUUAUUUUCUGUACACAGCUAAAAUAAACCCAUUGGCUGAUAUUGGAAUUGACUUUGAUGCUAUCAAUCGGAAGGAAAGGAGGAUGGAAAAGCCUGCUCCGACUGCAGUGACAUCUACUGUCACCAUGGGUAAAGCUAUGGGAUCGGGGUCUGGGAUUGGUCGUGCUGGUGCUAGCGCUCUCAGACCUCCACCAAAUCCUAUGAUGGGUUCUGGCAUGGGCAUGGGCAUGGGUAUGGGCAUGGGGAUGGGAAUGGGAAUGAGCGGCGGUCCUGUUGGUGGCAUGGGUGUAGGAGGUUAUGGUGGUAUGAAUCAACAACCUAUGGGCAUGGGAAUGGGGAUGAACAACAUGGGCAUGAAUCCAGGCAUGGGGAUGAAUAUGGGAAUGGGGCAAGGGGUCCAAAUGCAACCCCAAACUGGAAUGCCUGGCAGUUAUAACCCUGUGAUGGGUUCAGGGGGCUAUUCUCAACAGCCAUAUGGUGGUGGUUACCGAUGAGAUUGGGGUGCCUCCCCAUACAAAUGAGGGAAGUUAUUAUAUGCUUCGGAUAUACAGAGUAAAAGAGAUUGGAAUAGCAAACCCGGUGUCCCUGUCGAAUCCAUGAGUCAACGAUGUAAUUUUGUAGUCACAAUUCUCUUGGCAGUGGCCUGAUGCCAGCCCAUGUUUAUUCAUUUCUAUUAUUUCUCAUUCUUGCUUAAGCUAUUGCACACAUUUGGGGCCACGGGAGUCUUUUGCUUCAUUGCUGGUUUGAGCUGUUGUGAAAUUGUGUAGCAGAGAGGACGACCUUUCACAGGUUGCCAUUUUCUCAUUCUUCCAUAGAAUAUAUACAUAUUUUUUGCACCUGUUUGAGUAUUUGUAGUAUGUCUGGCUACACUAUGAAACAAUAAAUCUAAUCAUUCAUUUUUUUUCCCCAUCAUUUAGUUUCCCGUCAGCAACAGUAGUAAUUUCAGUAUAUUCACAAGGAAGAAGCAGAGGAGUGAAUCAGUUGGACACUUCUAUCAACACUGCCUGUUAGAAAAGCAAGUUUGAUUAUGGAUGUGAUCCGAUCCGAUAGGAUAAGAAGUUAUAUAUUUUAAGUAUCGAAGUUAGCACGGCAUUUCUUGGUUUAAGACGGUGAAGUCAUAUAUUUCUUAGAAUUACAGUCAAUGUGAAGAACUUACACAUUAUAAAUGAUUAAGCUUCCACCUAAUAAUGUAAGGUUGAAGAUUAGUCUGGAAUGGAGAACAUUUUCAUGUUUUGUAGUUUCAGUUGAAACCACCAGCGCCAGCCUUGCCAGCAGUAAGUUUUUGCCAUGGAAAGAGUUUCAUGCAGGUCAGGAGUAGGUGCACUAAGUUCUUGCCACAACCAAAUCAAACCAACACGGUUAUGAGGGCAAAGCUUAACAAUAUAUUAGAUUUUUGGUAAGGAGGAACUUGCAUCUAACUUAUAUGUAAAACACUAUGCUACAGUUAACAAAAUAUUUGAAUUAACACCAUAAUUUUCCCUUAUACAGACUGUUAUGAUAGCAUCAGGCUGAACAAGAGACACAGAAUUGUCACAAGAAAUGCAAAAAGCUUGAUUUUGAAAAACUCCAUGAGAGAGGAAUGCAAUGUCCUCAGAACUUCCCUUCUGAUGGUAUAAAUAAAUUAUGGUUUGAUCAGUUUGUUCAACAUAGGCUUGCAGAGUAUGAUUUCUGUGGCCUGGUUCUAACAAAGUAACGUAUAAAAGAAACUAGAACACACUUCGGAACUCUUAAGGAAGCCUUAACCUGGGGUUAGUGUUGCAAUACAAAUCCAAUGGACCUCCCCUUGCUACCUUCACGAUCACAUCUCCAAAUUUUCAGAUGUAACAAAAAAUCUACCUGUUAAAAAAGAAGCUCAAGUGUCAAUAGCAAAUAUGCCAAGAUAGUACAGCCAGGGUAUCUGUUGAAUAAUUCUGACAAAACUAUCUAUCAAAGCUUCAUAAAGCCUCAAAUCAUUUUGUGAACAUGUAACAAUAAUGUGGUGAUGGUGGAGGUGUUGUUUUAGCCAUAAUUAGGUGGUAUUCUUUAAAUGGGAUUAUUAUAUAAGCCUUUCUCUUCUAUCUGAAUCUAGACUUUCAGGCCUAACAAGCGAUUAGAGCAUCUUAGAAUUGAAAGUUCUCUUUUAAAGAAACCUAAAAGGUACCUUUAACUGUAGAAUCUUGAAAGUUCAAUUACAAUGGGAUCAUUCAAGAAAGACUUGAAUCCUGUCACCCAUUGUAUCAUUAAAAUCCAAUAGCAGCUUCCCCCCUACUUCCUCAGCAGCAUCAUCCAACAAUGCCUUGAUGUUUACACCCCCCAAAGCUGUGCAGAAAAGAGAUCAAACUCUUUACAGUAAUUUUCUCAAGAACUCAUCUGAAAAGAUAGUAAUUGUAAAUAUGUAAAACAACAACAUACCUGGAACAAUGUUUGUGACUCCUUCCAAAAACCCAGCCUGUGGGAAAAGGGAGAAGGUAAAAGGAAAGAUGAUAGUCAUUUCCAUAAAAAGAUACUUUAAUUAGACAUGAUGAUGACACCUGAUAUGGAAUGUUCUAAAACUGAUCAGAACAAAGGCCUAUUUCUAAAUGUAAAUAUCAAAGACCAAAGCACUGCCACGAAAGGUAGUACAGCCUAAUACUAUUCACAUGGAAUUCAGAUUUACCUGUAUGCAAAUAUAUCAGGAUAUGCGGAUGAAUUGGUGCUCAAACAUUAUGUCCUUUCCAAAGUUUCAGAAACAUUGGAAAUAUGUUUUGAAGAUCUUUGCAAAAGAUGAAACUGGUAAGGGUUAUACUUAUAUAUACCCAGGCCUACUGGGCAACAAAUAAAGAGAAGAAAAGCAAAUUGCAAUGUUAUCAAUCAGUAUCAACAGCAGCUUUAAGUGACAAGUCAGCAUCUUUUUAGCAUAUUGAUACAUAUCAUUUCACUAUCUGUAGCUAUAAAUGUGUGUUAAAUUCAUAGAUUGAACAGUAUUUCCUUCACAUUCUUCGGUAAAAGAUCCAACUAAAACAUACUUAUCAACUAAACAUGGUGCAUUACAGGAUUUUUUUUUUCAAUUAUCAAAUUAUUUAACUAGUAGAAGAAUAACUUUGUAAUGCAUUAAGAUUCACUAAAGUGUUCAUGCCAACUAAACAGCUGGGAUUAUCUAAUCCUUCUUGCAUGCUACACAACCCAAAUAAAUUUUGACAUAUAAAAGCAGCACUUAAUUUCAGGAAAUUAUGAUUGCGGUUAUGGCAUGUUUAGUUUGAAUCAUAAACCAGCAUUUUUAACGUCAACUGAAAGACAAGCAACCGAAUUAACAUGGUAUCUAUCCUCAAAGCAGAAGACUUACAGGAAUUCUAACAUCAAGUUUCUCAAAUCCAUCUCUUCCAGUAAUCUUGAUUCUCAACGUCCGAGACCAGAUCCCAGAAAAAGGACCCCUUGAACCAUCUGCACCAUAGUUAUUGUAUACAUCAGGAGUUAUCACCUCGACAACUGGAUCUUGAGGACUUUGACCUCUUUGUUCCGAGUCAUCUUGAACCCUUUGUAUACUGUAUGCAUUACUGCUCACUGACACAUAAACCAUGUUUUUUGGAUUAGGAAGACAAGACAACAAUUUUGCAUUAUUCUCAAAAAUGACUCUGGGCUUAAUUUGGGAGACAGAAUUGGCCAUCCUGAACCAAGAAUUUAGUUAAAAUUAAGUAAAACUACAAGUCAUAGCAUCAAAGAAGGUAGAACAAGUACAAAAGUCUAUAGCCCAUUUUUUUUUAAUUUUAUAAAAACAAAUAAAAGAACAAGUUCUGAAUGAAAGUUUUUUAGGCUAUAGAACCAAUUCUGGUCAUUGCAAUUUUAGCUCAAUGAUAUUAAAAAAAAGGAACAAACUUCACAUGAAAGAUGGGAGAGACUGAAGCAUGAUGGACAUUUUGCUCAAGAAAGGAGUUUUCACUCAAGUUUAGAGAACUAAAUCUCACCCACCUCUGUCUGAAUAUAGCUGAUAGGUGCUGGUAGCAUAUCUUUUUUCUUCCUCAUAGUAAUUAUUGAAACCUAAGAUUUCCUUGAUUUCGUCAAAAGAUGGCAUGCUUCCAGGAGGGGGGAUACGACCUCCUUUCAGGGCAGUUAGUGAAUCCUGCAAAUUUAUAGAGGUUGACAUUUGAGAACCAACACUGUAUUAACAAUCAAAUUGUGAAAGCAUGUGAAGCAUCGCUAAAUAUCCAUAUUGUGGGCAUCACAACAUUAGACCUUAAAAUUUUCCAGGCUUGAAAUAAUGGCUAUAUUCAGACUAGAAAUCAAAAUCAUACAUUGAAGCAGUACUUAAGUGCCAAGAACAGUAAUAUCUUUUUCAUAAGAAAAUGUAGAAGUUUCACAUUCACAGACAUCAAGAAAAGACCAAAAGACAAACUGAAUUAGGUUUCAAGGCACCUUGAACUGGAAAAUGCAGUUUAGCACAUAUUAUUAAAUGGUGAAAAUUAUCAAACCCCUUGAAAACACCACUAAAUGGUGUUUUGAAGUGAUAUAGUCAUCUUUUUCUCCCCUUCUUUCUGACUAAAGAAAAAUAUAUCUCCCUCAGGUCUAUCACCGGUCUUCCAUCUAUCUUAAAGGCUUCUCUUUGACUUUUUAGUGGUAUUAAGCAAAAGUACACACAUUUGUUUCGCAUCAGCCUGCUAAUUCAAAUUACCUGUAGCUUUCAGCCCUUUGCGUUACUUUUUUCACCAAUAUUUCUUCUGAAUUUUUAUGAAUGAGGGUUUAGCCUCCUUAGAGUGAAGAUAUUGGCCCUAACUAAAACUAACAUAUGUUAAUUCAACUCAUCUCAAGUUGUCAGCUUAUGCCAGCAAGACAGCUACAGAUAUUAACUAGCAACUGUAGACUCAACUUGAGUUAAAAAUUAUCAAAAUACCAGAUCAAUAUGUCAAAUCUUGCACCAAGAAUGUCAUUACCAUGCAUACUUGGUUAAGCUUAAAACAAAAUAAAUUCUAUUUAAUAUCAGAAGACAAUGAGCUCAUCUUCAUAUUAUCAAAGUACCCCAACACAGUGCCUGAAGCGUAAAAUAAUAUAAGAGUCAGAUCAUGUUAUGCAACUGCUUGUGUUUCUCCAUAAUCUGUGCAAUGGCAAGAAUCAAACCAUAGCAUUUGGUUUUCUUUUUGGUAGUUAAGCAGACUGCAUCAUGUCAGAUAAGUGUCAAAAGAGUGACAAGUGAGCUUUCAUACAUAUCAAGUGAAGAAAAUGAAGAUAUUGACCUGCAUUGCUCGUAUAGACACCCCAAUCAAGGAAAGUGGAUAUGCUACAAGUUUAUAUCCAAUUUCCUCAAGUUCAAGCGGAUUGAGUAUUGGUGUUUUCCCCCCACCUUCAAGCAUAUUAGCCUACACAGGAGCAUAAAAGCUACAUAAGUCAUUGAUGAUGGUUGAGAAUUGUCUGGAAAGGAAGCAGAGAACAAGUGCCUGUCCCAACAAGUUUGAGAAAUAGAAUAAAGAUGGGAAAAUUCUCAUACGGCAGAUCCCAUGCUAGUGACAAAUUCCCUAUAUAUACAUGUUGGAAAGCCAAUCAAGAUGUUUAAAUUUUCAAAUAAUGAAGCAACAGGAGAAAGCUACUGGCCUACUGCUGAAUAAAUAUUAUGUUUCCUCUGAAUUCUGUUUUAUAUGCAAUAAACUGUGUGUAUGUGAGAUUUUGGAGGAGGGGUGAGAGUUGCUACAAUCAUGCAAUAUAGUGUGUAAGAUGCUUAUUACUUGGUAUUACAUAAGGAACAUACCAUACCAUUUUUGGAACUAAUGGAGAAACUUCACAGAAGGCUUUCAUCUCUUCUUUAGAGGCUAGAGCAUCAAUAAAAAGGACAUCUGCUCCAGCAUCAGCAAAAGCCCUUGAUCUCCAAAGUGACUCCUCUAAAGACAGUGCUUGACGAGAAUCUGUUCGUGCCACAAUAACAAUGUCAGAACCACUCUCUUUGCGAGCAUCAACAGCUGCUUUAAUUCUCAUCACAGCUUCCUCUCUGGACACCACCUUCCUGCCUUGUGUAUGACCACAAGCUUUUGGAGACACCUGGCAGUUCAGUUUUAUAAAAAAUCGGAGCCUCAAAACAGGAACAAAAACAAAUAAGUAUUUCUAAAACUAAACUGGAAGGUUAGACUAUAAACGAAAUGGCUUAGGGUACCAUAAACAUUGUUUACAGCACUGCACUACUGGUGUUAUGCCAAUAUAAUCACUUUUCAUUAGUGUGACUAGUUUCUUUCAUGAUAGUAGGUUUUCAAGCCUUCAGUAAGAUUUCCAGAGGGCAUCUUCUAUAUAGCCUGGUUCUGUUAAUUUAUUCUCAAAGGUUGAAAUUAAUCCAUAGAUUUAUGUUAGAGGAAGCCUGUAAGUUUUCUACUGACUUCCUCUUAUCAAUUAAAAUUUACUUAUUGCAGACAAAUAAGGAAUACAAUUUAUAUCUUCAAAUCUUACUUUUAACAUAUCAAUACAAAAGACCAUGUCAUGACUAGCCUUAGCAGCAGAAAAUAACAAAAAUUUCAAAAGCUCAGCCGUGGAGCUGGCAGUGCUAUUCCUAAAACCUACUACACUACUUUUCCAGUUCGCAUGCAUGGGCCAUAAAUAUAGAAAACACAAAAAGGUCCAUGAGACGAAGCUAAUAUGUUACUCUACAUGCUCAGAACCCAUCUAUCUAAGAUUUAGAACCCAUUAGCAUGACUCCUAACAAAAUUAAUCUAAAAACAGGAGAUAUAGAGUUAGAAAACACCUGAGAGACAACCAGAGAGAGGGAGAGGGGAGAGAGGACAAAGAAAAAGAUGAAUGACUGAAAAGGUUUACCAGCAACAAAAUUAUUUCAAAAGCCAAAUAUUUUUCAACAGAACAUGAACCUGAUCUUCAAGAAUGAUCCCUGCAAAGCCUGCUCUUAUAUAUCCUUUAACAGUUCUCUUGACAUUCAUUGCAUUUCCAUAUCCAUUAUCACCAUCCCCAAUGACAGGAAUUGAGACUGCCUGGGUGAUUUGUUGCCCCUGAUCCACCAUUUCACCAUAGGAAAUAAAUCCUGUGUCUGGUAAUCCCAGGCGAGCAGCAGAAAUGGAAAAUCCUAAUGAUGGCAGCAAACAGUGUUAAUGCACAUAUCAUCUUGAAACAGUUGAGCAAUGAAAGUUUUUUAACAAAUAAUUUGUCCAAUAAUACACAUUCAGAUUUUGAUACCGGAAAUGUAUCAGACAUAUCUAAAGGAUGAUUCAAAAGAAACAAAAUAUUAGUGUUGUACAAAUCAAACCCGCAUGUAAGAAGAACAAAAGCAUCAAAACUGCAGUAAUUACUAAUUUAUUAUAAGAACCAUAUGAAUUUUCAGUAAAAACAUAUAUGAUGGUCAAAAAUAAAUGCAAUGGAACUAAUAUCUGGCUUCUGGAGAUACAAAGAAACAAAAAAAUGGUAAACCAAAUUGCCUUGGAUAAAGAAAUAAUCAGCAUCAAUAAUCAGUUAGCGCUAAAAUUUGCAAAUUCAGAGCGUUCUUCCAGAUUGAAUUUAAAUGUAACCCAUCAACCAGAAAAUUAAAAUCAAACUACAAGCACAAAUAACUCCAAUAUUAUAUAACCAGCUUAACCAUUUAAACUCAUAUAGUUACCAAUCAUACAAACUAAGACCGAGUCCUGGGGUUAUCAAAUCAAUGCAAAAACUGCACAAACCACCAAAACA
rnacentral:lncRNA from 1 species